AAGAAAUAUAAUCAUCUGAAUUAUGGGAAUUCAAUUUUAGGUGACUGAAGCUAAGCACCCUUAAACUAGUCCAUAUCAUUUUCAAUAAUUGUUUUUAGCGGGUUUUGGCCUAGUCCCCCCGUUUGUUCUACUUUUCCUUUUUUCUUCUUAUUAUUAAUAAAUUCUUGUAGAGGGGGGAUGGGCGGGGGGUUUCUGGGUGCAACGGUCCUUUCUCCUUUGGGAGAGGGUUGGUGCCUCGCACGCGACUGUUGACGAAGAGCUAAUCUCGCCUAAUCCGUCUCUACAAAAAAUUCAAAAAAAAAAAAAAAAAAAAAAAAAAAAAAAAAAAAAAGCUAGUUGGGGCAUUUGAGGAACGUGACAAAAUGAUGAGCCAAUAUCAUAGUUACCUGCACUAGAUUUGGUACCAGAUGACCCUUCAAACUCAUGUAUGGAACCAGACCUAUUAGCAUACAUUGCAGCCAUUAGAGGUUGUUUGAGACUUUCUUCAAGUGUUGCUUCUUCUCCCUUCAACUGAGACGUAAGCUCCUGCAGGGACACAAGAUUUUCUCUUCCUCGAAUAACAGCCUUAAUAGUGUUGUAUUCAGUUGGUAAGCCUCUGAGAGCAACUAUGACAAUAUCUUCAUCGGGAAUAGCAACACCCACUGCAGCUAACUGGUCUCUACAAUCUUUGAUGCGUUGAAGAUAAAGAUCAAUAGAUUCAGCCCCUUUCUUAAUAUUCUGCAGAUCAAUUUUCAUCUGGACAAUACUUGUUCUAGUCAUACUCGAGAACCUCUCUUUCAAGUUAAUCCACAUUUCCUUGGAGCUUUGACACCCAAUGACACUCGAUAGGGCAGCAGGAGACAAAGUAGCAGUGAUAAGAGUCAUCAAGGCUUUAUCAUGAAUCUUCCAAACUUUAUAGGCAUCAGUUAUGACAGCACGAUUAAUCACAGGGCCAUCUUCAGUAGUCAUAUAUUUCUCAGGACAGGGGAUAGAGCCAUCAAGAAAUCCCAUAAUACCAUUACCUUCUAACAGUAAAUCGAGUUAAAAAUUCCAUGUUAUAUAGUUAGAAACAUCUAACUUGACUGUGACUGUAUUGCCAACACUUGGUAUUAGGGAAGAAAUGGGAGACUGUGUAAGAGUUAAUUGGGCUGUGGUCACCAUGUUUAAUCAAGAAACAACAAUCUUUACAGCAAUAUAGAAGUAAUCAAGGGCUUCUUAAUCACCACAUAACAAUCCGUGCGUCAAUCAGAAGUAAUCAAGAACCAACGAUUAACAGAAAUCUCCAACUCAAUUCAAUUCUGAAGAGCAACAAGAAAUUCAACAAAAUCACCACAUGAAUCUGAACAAGACGAUAAGGAAUUCGACCAAUACCUCCAGCCAAGACGACGAUCAACAACGACAACUACUGCACGAAGAGCAACCGACGUCGACUAACCCAUGCAAGAAAACUCUAAAAUUCUAGGGUUGCAGAAACCAAGAUUCACCAAAGACCACGAAAUAAUGACCAAUCAACUUCCAGCGAACAAGCGAAAACCACCGGAGCAAAAACGAAGAGACGCGAAAGCACCAGGAUCGUCACGCGACGGCGGUAGCCAUUGCCAGCGAUGAUACCAUGUUAACAAACCAACUGUAUGGAAGAAACUUAGAGAAGAAGAUAUCAAACACAGAGAAAUAGAGAGGGAAAGUAGAGAGGGAAAAAAUAAUCUUGUUAUAUUUUUUCUUAUGUUUAUGACAACACUAAUCUCUUAUAAAUACAACACACCUUAUGACUAACAUUCACAACCCCAAUACAAUUAUGACACAUGGCAUAGCUAUAUCCUAACAAAGUAGACAUAUAAUUGUUGAUAGGAUAUUUGGCUUUGGCAUGCAUAUCAUGCUCAUAUUGUACUUUAGGUUUUCCACGAUUAACUCGUGGAGGCAACUGAUAAGUAGAAGAAUCGUCAGAAUUGUCACGCCAUAACCCGCAAAUAAAGACUAUUCACAAGUUAGGGUGUGAGUCAUAUCUUAGCUAUAGAAAUAAAUUCUACAACCAGUAUAUGGUGGAAAAUAAAAUAAAAUUAUAAUGAUUACACCGUACAACAUAUAACAAAACUUAUAUACAAAUUUAUCGAAUACGCAGCAGAAUAAAAUAGUGUACAAAUUAAUUCACAACAAAAACUACCAAUUAGAUGAUAAUUAAAUUGUAACAAUUCGUUCAAAUGCAUGAAAUAUAUGCAAAUGAGAUGGAUAAAUGUACUCACUCCCUUCUAAUCCUGCUCACACACACCUAAGUAUGUUAGAAUAUGAGUUAACUCUCGUUCAUCCCUUAAACCCAAUUUUUUUUAAUUAAACUCUCAAUUUCCACUUUAUUAUACAGGCAUUUCCCUCGACGCCCAAUCGUAUAUUCAAGCCUUGUACCCUGCGCUUGACAUAUAUAAGAUUUCAUUAUUUCAUAAUCAACCAAUUUGUAUACUCAAGCCCUGCACCCUACGCUUGACAUAUACACGGUUCAUUAUUAUUCAAGGCAAAUUUUAACCCUUGAAUAUCCUCUCAAUUUAAACACUUUACACAAGUGAGCACUUGACACAACACAACUCUUUUUCUAGCUUUGCAAUGCAUAUGUAUAUGUCAUGUUCACAUAGAUAUCAAUACUCACACUUUAUCUAACAAGCCUGCAAACUUCAACAUAAAUAUAAAGUGAUUAGUGACAAGAGUAAUAUAAUCAUAAUAUUAACAAAAUAAUAAUCUUUAAUGUAAAUGAUAAGCGAUAUGUUACCAUUUCCUCUUUUUUUUUUAUUGUUUCAAUUUCAUUUCCUCUCUCUUGUUCUCUUUCUUCCUUCACCACUUCCCCUUCCUCUUCUUUAAUAUAGCUGAAAUUCUCAACUGAACAUCAACUGUUUGAACUGGAAUACAAAUCAUCACAUACAUUAGAUUGUCGUGGUUUUAGGAUAUGUUAUAGAGAAGAUGAUAAGGAACAACUUUUAUGAAGGAAGUGUUUUGAUUAGAGCUACGAAAAAUGGGGUUUUGGUACUCAUAACAUGGAUGUCCAGUUUUCUGCGGAAUUAGAGACAUGAGUUGGUAUUUCAAACGUAUUGGACGAUCACACCGUUAACGGAGAGGGAGUGAUGUGCCUUAUAUGUACAUGCUCCCCUUCCUAUAGCAUGAGGCAUUUUGAGAACUCAUUGGCUUCAGAUUCCAUUGGAAAUCCGAAGUUAAGCGAGUUCGGGCGAGAGCAUUCCUAGGAUGGGUGACCCAUUGGGAAGUUCUCGUGUGAGUUCCUAGAAACAAAACCGUGAGGAUGUGGCCCAAAGCGGACAAUAUCGUGCUACAGCGGAGUCGAGACUAGGAUGUGAUAGAAUGGUAUCAAAGCCACUCUGCCGUUCGGUGCGAGUGUACCGACGAGGAUGUCGGGCCCCUAAGGGGGGUGGAUUGUAAGAUCCCACAUCGACCAAUAGAGAGGGGGUGAUAUGCCUUAUAUGUACAUGUUAUUCUCCUAUAACACGAGGCCUUUGAGGAACUCACUAGCUUCGGAUUCCAUUGGAACUCCGAAGUUAAGCGAGUUCGGGCGAAAGCAUUCCUAUGAUAGGUGACCUACUGAGAAGUUCUCGUGUAAGUUCCCAGAAAUAAAACCGUGAGGGCGUGGCCCAAAGUAGACAAUAUCGUGCUACGACGGAGUCGAUAUUGGGAUGUGAUAAGAAUUUACCUCAUGUAUGUCACCAUCUUGUACCAAACUAUUAGAAGAAUCAUCAUUGGAUGAACCAUCAUCAGGCAACUCGUUAGACAUACCAACAACAUGCAACCGGUCAUCAGAAGGUAAUUCGUCAAACAUAUUAAUAGGCAAUUCGUUGGGCACAUCUGAUAUGUCGUCAUCAGAAAUAGUUUCGGGAAUGACAGGUGACUGAUCACAAUCUAUAUCUGACUGAUCAGUAUCACGCAACAUAAUAGGUUUUGUCCCCAACUCUGCCUGUAACACAUCAUCCAUACCAUCUCUUUGAAUCUGCACUUCACUCCCCCUCUCCCCCUAAAGUGGAGAGUUGGAAGAGGGCUUCACAAAAUACGAAACUUCCUCGUGAAAGGUGACAUCCAUGGUAAUACAAGUUUUCUGAGUCAAAUGAUGAUAACACUUAUAGUCUUUCUGAUUGUUAGCAUAGCCAAUAAAUACACAUCGGAGAACACAUGCAUCAAGUUUACUCCAUUGAUGAGAGUAGACAUGUACAUACACAAUACACCCAAACACAAUCGGAGGAAGUUUUGAUAUAGAAACAAGAGAAACAUGUUUUUGUAGCACAUCCAACGGCGUCUAAAAAUCAAGAACCCUACUUGGAACACAAUUUAUCAAAUAUAAAGCAGCCAAAAUAGCAUGACCCCACAAAUGAUUAGGAGCACAUUUAUCCAACAUCAAAGAGCGAGCAACCUCCAUUAUUUGACAAUUCUUCCGUUCGAACGCACCAUUUUGUUGGGGUGUAAAUGGAGUAGUCGUCUGGUGAAUAAUAUCUUGAUCAAGAAAAAAGCAUGCCAAAGUGCGAUUCACAUAUUCUCCUCCGUUAUCAGACCUGAAGACCUUAACUUUGUUUUGAAACUGAAUAGACACCAUUGCACAAAAUUAUUGAAGAAGCAAAGGAACAUCAUUCUUAUUUUUCAUCAAGAACACCCAAGUUAAUCGAGUACAAUCAUCAAUAAAAGUAACAAACUAACGGAAUCCAUUAGAAGUAAUCUUCGUCGGACCCCACACAUCAGAAUGUAUUAAAUCAAAUGGCAAAGUAGCUUUAGAAUCACUUAUAAGAAAGGAAGCACGAUGACUCUUAGACAUGACACAUGUUUCACACUUGAACUCUAAAUCACUACAAGUGUGAAACAAAGAAGGAAAUAGAUGCUUUAUAUAACUAAAUGAUGGAUGUCCCAGUCGUUGAUGCCACAACCAAAUUUGAUGUCUAUCAUUCACUUUAGAACUUAAAACUUGAUGAUUAUUUAAACCAGAAACAAUAGUAUCUUCCAUAGUCAAGAUGUACAAACCCCCUAUUCUUUUACCACGACAACUUAUCUUUUGAGUUUGAAUGUCUUGAAAAUAACAAUACGUAGGGUAGAAGUGAGCAGAACAAUAUAAGGUAUCAAGUAGUUUUCUUACCAACAAAAGAUUGCACUUAACAUCAAGAACAAGUAAAGCAUGGACCAGUGAUAACGUUGGAGUAAGAGAGAUAAUGUCUUCACCCUUCACAAGGGAAUGUGCUCCAUUUGCACUAGUAAUAUACGGAUCACGAACAUAGUCACAUAACUCAUCAAAACAUUCUAAGGUCACUAGUCACAUGAUUAGUGGCCUCAGUGUCAAUUAUCCAUAUAUUUGUUCCACCAAGAUGCAUAACAACACUAUAAUUAUAUUGAGCCAUUAAACUAAAUCACGAAUAAUAAAAGCACAAAAGAUAUGCAACGGAAUGAAAACAAUUUACAAGAACCUGUUCACAGCAAUGUGUAGGCACUAUAGCAGAUCCCUUUUCACGACAAUGUGUCACGGCAAUGGGCAGGCACUGUAGCAGAUCCUUUUUCACGGCAAUGUGUAGGCACUGUAGCAAGGCGCUAAACUGUAGCUUGUCACUAUUCACAUUUAAAAAAAAUAUCAUGACAAAGGUGGGCACAAAAAUAAAGCACACAGGUCACCAAAAGCGAAUUGCUCUGAUGCCAUAGUAAACUAAACAUGGUAAAUACCAAAUAUAUAUAUAUAUAUAUAUAUAUAUAUGACAAUAUUUGUGAAUUUCUUAUAUAUUCAUUAAUCUCCAAAGUGGAGUAUAUAUAUAGGAGUUACAAACAUAUGUACUUCAUCAAUGUGAGACAACAAACUACUAUUUACACUUUAACUAAUAUCUAACUCGCAACAUAAACAAGGUUUCAAAAAUUUCAAAUGAACGAUUUGAAGAACUAUAAAUAUUAUUAAUUAUAGAAUUGAUUAUUCGUACUUUUUAAUUUAUAGAUGUGGCUCUCAGAUUGUAAAAACAGCCCUAGCAUUUGUUGCCUUCUCACUCCACCACUCACCAUGAUACUAUUAUGCCAGAGCAUGUUAAGUAAUGAAGAAAGUUAAGGUUUCAUCAUAAAAUUAAUUAGAAAUAUGAGGAAUAGUCGAACUACAUAUAAGCACAUGUAAUGUUCCUAGGUUAAUACUCAACAAGACACUUCAUCUAUGGCGAAUUUAUAAGUCAAACAUGUGGACAAUACAAAAUUGGGUGAAGUGAAGAACGUAUGGCCAUUAGAAUUCACACAUGGGACAUCUUGCUCUGAUACCAUGAAUGAAGUUGAAGUUUCAAUAUAAAACCAAUUAGAAAAAUAACGAGUUGCUCAACUACUUAUAAGCAUAUGCAAGGUCUAUUCUUUCCUUGAUGUGGGAUUAAUACUCUCAACAAGUAAUAGUUAUUGAAUUAGAAAGAAAAAAUAUUGUACAAUACAUACCGAAUUUCAUACCAGUCAAUAGUUCACACAUUAAUUAACAUACGCAUGAACAAUUGUAUCUAACAAAAACCAAUUGGAUCUAAGCUCCACGUCACAAGUUCAAGACCACGGCUAAAUACCUCUGUCAUUAAGACAAAUCAGUACGAGACAAAUCUCAUUCUGGUGUUGAGUCCUUGCUUCUAUAAAACUGAUCAGCACAAGAGAGACAGUGUUAUCGUGAAGAACCAAGGACAAUGAUAUUGUUGUUUUCUUGGAGUCAUCUGACUUGCACUGGGCGGUGGGAGCAGUCGCAUGUAAACCAAGAUCUCUAAACUAGGAGGCCUGAUUGCUUCCAUAUUUUGUUCAUUAAGAAAAUAAACCAUCUGAUAACCCGAAGACAUUUCUUUUCUCUGCAGCUUUCUCCAGUCGUUCAGAUUUUAAUACGGUUUUUGAACGAAGAAACACGCAUCAAAAAUGCUUUUUUCUUCCCCAAACAAUACUUGGUUUCGGGCUGCCACUGGCCCAUAAUUUCAUUCUCGCCGAUUAUGCCUGGCAUUGAAAAUCAGAUUGCGCUUUGUUGUCUGGUUCAACCUGAUUCACCCAGCCCAAAUGUGGCUCGUGUCAAUACCAAUGAUAAUGCAAGGCCCAAAUGUAGCUCAUGUCAAUAUAAUUAACGCCUAAUCAUGGCCAUGACUAUUUGAUAGUCAUCGCAGCAAAACAAAUGAUAUGGUGAUAUUUAGUCUUUACUUUAUUGGAGAACGCCUUGAGCGUCUUGAGUUGAAUUUUAUGGGAUUAUCAAAUUCUGAUCUAAGUGGUAGCGAGUACUUCUGCAGCUUCAACUUAUGAUCUGUGAAGGCAACUGGCCCUGCAACUCAAUCUUCAACCAAUCAUGCUCUGUUUGGUUAGAGACUUCUGAUACCUAAAUUCUAAUAAUGCGAGGCCAAAUCAACUAGUAAGGAAUAGUUCACAAAAUGUUAGAUAGGGGAAUUAGAAUUGCACCACAUAAGAAUUACAAAGAUUUGUAAGAAAAAUUUGCAAAUAACUUCUCGAAUUUUUGUGUUUGCAAGUAUACGAAUCGGAUGAAGUAUUGUAUACAUGCACGGAUAUCAUCCCACAUAGAUCAAAUUGAUAUUAAAAAUAUUACUAACUAAAUUGAAAUAAAUUAUAAUUGAGAAGUUUUAACGGAAAAGAGAGAAAAUCUGCAUUAACUGAAAAUUUAAAUAAGGCUUGAAAGUAAGCGCAUGAAAAUAAUAAAUUGAAAACAUAAGAAAAUAAUACUUAGGGCAUCCGAAUUCACCGUAACCAAUUCUACUUAAUCCUCUUAAUAUGUUAUGCACAAGUAAUUCUUAAUAUUGAUAAUCUAUUUUCCUAAAUCAUUCAAUGACCAUGACAUCUAGUUGCAUAAAAGUAUCGUUACAUGUUAACCCUUUAUGAACAUCUAGACGAAUUUAAACAUGUAAGAAUUCAUUAAGCGUUAUGAAAAUCAUUGGAAAAUCACAUAAACUCUAAUUGCAUGAAAUCAACAAAUAGGAAUUCAUGGUAUCAAUUGCAAGAAGAUAAAACCCAAGUUAAGUAUGACAUCUACUGUAAUUUGCAUUAAAUCAAUUUAAUUUAUACAUAGAGGGUGAUAAUUAAAUAUUAAAAAGCCCAAAAAGAAUACUCUUCCAUGUUGGACACAGCCUUCUUUGUGAAAUAUGAUGUUUGGUGGUUGUUGGAUCGAUGCAUCAGAAGGAGAAGGAUUCUUCUUAUAAAACCCACGACAAUAAGCAAGGCUUUAUCAAUCCUAGCCUAAUGGACUUUUCAGUCCUUAUCAAAGAAUGACAAAUUACAGAUUAAUAAUUAAAUUCUCUGUAAGCCCAUUAAACAGCUCCCACACCAACCGUAUCGCCAAAAUUGGUCCAUAUUGAAUUCUUGCACUGCUCCAGCUCAGCCACGAAAUCAUAUUAGCAUCAAAUCCCCUCUCGCAUUCAUCCUUUUACUGCUGCUUUAAGUAAAUAUGCUCGUAGAAAAUUACUCUAGGCACCCAAGUUUUCGUUUAAUUUCUCUUUUUUUCAUCUAGUUCCACUAUCGAAUGCUUAAAGAUCAAAACCGUAUAAUUUAGUGUAUUUAACCCACUAAAAUAUACAAAAUUUAAAAGAAAUAAAUGAUAAAAAUAUAUGAAAAUAUAACCAUGCCAGCAACCAUAUGCCUUCGUGUCCUCAAUAAGAUGCCCAUAGAAGGAUAAAUUCGGUCCGGAUCUAAGCAAAGCGGAUACAACCACGUGAGAAUCACUUUCAAUAGAUUUAUUUUAUUAUUUUAUAUAUAAGCGAUAUUACUACUUUAAUUACACUAAGGAGAGCGAGUUUGAACUCAUGAUGCGAUUUAAAGAAAAAAAAAAAACUCUAACUACCAAAGCAAUCCAUCACUUACAUUAUCAAAAAAAGUAUUAGAAAAUAAUUUGGAGUUGCUGUUAGUAAAUAUAGUGUUAUUAUUUUAUCUCUUAUGUUUUUCGAGCAACAUGAUUUUACACCAUGGGACGAUUUUAGCUAAGGACAUCUCCAUGCAAGGACUCAAAUUCCAAACCUAUAUUCUUAUACUUAAGUCCCAAAGAAUUGGUGGAUUUAUGUACCGAGGAAUUAGGUUCACAUCCUUCUUUUUGCUACUACAUUGAUUAAAAUCUUAUUCAUUUUCAAUUUUUGAUCAAGGUCCUUGGAUAUUAAUAACAUCAUUAAUUAUUUGAAUAAUAAAAUAUUUUUAUUUCAAAAUAUAUUCCUUUAGUGUGAAAAAUGUUACAAUUAAUAUACUUAUAUUUAUGGCUAAAUUUUUUAUCGUAUAUUUUUAUUUUUAGUUUGUACCUAUUUUUAAUUUGUACCAAUUUUUUUUUCAUAUUUAAUUUGUACCCAUAUAUUAGUUUCUUUUUGUGCCCAUAUUUUUUAAAGUUUUAUUUGUGUUUGUACCCAUGUGAUACCAUAACGUGAUAUUGUAUAUUUAAUCAAUGAUAGAAAGAUUACAUAUGGUAUAUUUAUGUUUUAUGCCUAAACUUUGUAUCAUAUAUUUAUAUUUUUAGUUUGUACCCACUUUUAAUUUGCAACAUUUUUUUUAAAUUUGUAGUAUUUUCUUUUUAGUUUUAUUUUGUACCCAUGUAUCAAUUUCUUUUACGACCUAUAUUUUUUUAAAAUUCAUUUGUACUCAUAAUUUUUUAAUCUUUUAUUUGUACCCUAAUUUAUUUAUAAUGUACCCAUUCUUCUUUAUUAAUGUACCACUUUGUUAUAUGUGAAAUGUACCAAUUUUUUUAACACUAAGGAUAUAUUCUUUUGCCAUUUAUAUUUCUUAUUUUUACAUAGUUUUUAUCCAUUUAUUCAAUCAAAAUGUUUGAAUUUUUUUAUUGUAACCGUUUCUAAUAGUAUUAUAAUGAGGGAUUUUAAAUUUAUAGUAUUAUAAAUCUCAUAAAAUAUCAAACAAUUAAUGUCAAAACUAUAAAAAUAUAAAUAUUAAUUGUAAUAUAAUGAGGUGUACAAACUCAAGGGACUUUGAUCGAACUUUGAAUAUCAUUAAGAUGUUAGUCAAAGAAUGUUAAGGAUUAGGAACCGUAUCCAAAGUAUCCCUUUAUGUAUUUUGAUUUCCUCACCUAUUUUAACCCUCCCUUCAAAGUUUAGUAAGCUAACCAUAAUAACUUCACUUCUCAAAUGCUAGUCACCACAUAUUUUAUGAUUCAAAGUUUUAGGAAAAGAUUUUAUCAAUCUAGUAUUAUUGAAGAUGAAAUAGUCUCCGAGUCAAUGUUCAUUAAAGUAGGUACUCUCCACUUCUCCUCCCCUUCUCUCUUUUCCGCUCACUUUCCUUUCUUUCUUUCUCCUAAAGAAGUGAACACAAAAUAUUGAUCUGGCUUAAAACCAAGGAAGAAAAUAUCGGUAAUAUCGGAAAUAUCAGUAGUCCGAAAACACGGAAAUAUCGAUGGAAAUAUCGGGAUAAUAUCGAUAUCGAUAAAAAUUACAUGGAAACCACGGAAAUUGUAAGAAAAACUUGGAAAUUUUUAAUGAAACUUUGCAAGAUGUUUAUUUAGUCAAUUAUCUAUUAGUUUAUCACAAAAAAAUGGGAAGGAAAUGCAUUGUAUGAUGAAUUUAACUGAUUUAAGUUGAUUAUAUAGCGAGCUGGCAAAUUUUUCACUCUUUGAGGUUCAAAUUUUUCACUUUUUCCCUGAAAUUGAGUCUUUUAUCCUAAUCUAAUCUGAACCCCCAGAUUAAUUUAUAUUUUCACUCUUUCCCUGAAAUUAUAUAAAUUGUGCAAUUGAGUCCUUUAUCCUAAUCUAAUAUGGACCCUCCAUCUUGAUUCUCACUCUUUGUCACGCUGCCACGUGGCAGACCACUAACCCUCACCCUAUCUCUCUCUCUCUCUUUUCCCGAGUCCCUCUCGAACCCCUCACUCUCUCUCAGUUCUCAACUCUAUCUCUCUCUCGAACUCUCGUUCUCUCACUCCAAUUCCCCGAUCGCACCCACACCCAGGCACACCCAAAUCCGUCCACCCCGAUGCCAGCGCAGCAUCUCCACCACCCUCCUGAACUCUCCCUCCCUCUCCUCCGUCUCUGGGAAGCACGGCGACGCGCAGAUGAAGCUCCAUUUCCCCAAUCGCACCCACACCCAGGCACACCCAAAUCCGUCCACCCCGAUGCCAGCGCAGCAUCUCCACCACCCUCCUGAACUCUCCCUCCCUCUCCUCCAUCUCUGGGAAGCACGACGACGCGCAGAGGACUCCAUUUCCCCGAUCGCACCCACACCUAGGCACACCCAAAUCUGUCCACCCUGAUGCCAGCGCAGCAUCUCCACCACCCUCCUGAACUCUCCCUCCCUCUCCUCCGUCUUUGGGAAGCACGGCGACGCGUAGAGGAAGCUCGGCUGCCGUUGUGACGCCGACGACGGAGCCUCGGUGAUAUUAUCACUAAUAUCGUGAUAUUAUCGCUAAUAUCGAUAAUAUCGCGAUAUUAUCACGAAAACCAUUUGGAUAGUUAUAAAAAUAUCGGUCCUCUUAAAAACUGAAAAUAUCGGCGAUAUCUUCCUUGCUUAAAACAACAGCUUUUUAGGUUUUUCAUGUAACCAUAAAAUGGGAGCCAAUUACAAAACAGCAGAUAAGCCCCAUUCCAACCGCCAGCUUAAUUUCAAAUUUAAUGCAAAGUCCAAAUCACCACUCCUUCGACUUCCUCGCCAUCACACACUUCCUACCUUUACAUUCUGGCCACAUUUUCUCUCGCCCCAACCCACAUUUCCAAGAAAAAACAUCAUUUUCCAUCUUAACUAACACACUUUCUUCUUUAACCAAACCUUUAUCCAUUCGUCCACCGGCAACCUACUAAACCAAAACCUCCGAUAUAAUAUAGGAAAACAGAAGUUGGUAGAUUCAUAGUACAUGAUCUGGAUUCAUUUUACUCUUUUCACUUCUCUCCUCACAUUUUCCCGGUAGGCAGUCCACCAUCCGUUAGGUUAAAACAUUGAAAAAGAAAAACCUACUGAGCCAUUUCCCCAGAGACCUUUCAGAGACGUACACACGUACGGACAAAUGAGUGGUCGUCUUAGCAAGCUCGGGACAACGCUCACUGUAGUGUUUGCUGUCACUCUCGCCGCCCUUAUAGCGCAGUUCUUCUUCCUCCUCUGGCGGCGAAGGAAGUCCCAGUUUCCGACCAGCAUCGGGCCCCACGAAGCUCAUCAUAACAACCGACAACCUAGCUCACUGCACCGCAAUAUCGAAGUGGACGAGGUGUUCAAGUGGCAGCAGCGACUGUACGGCGUGUCGUCCAGGGUGCUGUUCACGAUCGAGGAGGAGGAAGAGAGAGAGGGUCUGGACUCCGAGACGCCGGCAACGACGUAUUCAUCCUGUGCGGAGAAAGAGGCGAAGACCCUGGUGCUGGACGUAGCGGUGACUAUGAGAGUAGAGGUGGAGGAGGCAACGCCGCCGUUUACUACGCCAUGUGCUUCGCCGCCGUACUAUACACCUUCGCCUUCUCCUAGUCGUGAUUUUGUAGUGUGAACUGUAAAGAGAGCUCUUUUUUCUCUCCGUUGGGUAGGAUCCAUGAUCCAUCAGUGAUCUGGAGUUGGGUUGUCGGGUCAAAGCAGGAUCCGGUUUGGCAGUCCAAUAGUUCAAUUAAUGUGGUUGCAACUGUACCAUUGUAGUUGGGUGAUCAUUGAUGGCUUUUGCUUUUCGUGUAACAAUGGCUGGAAAGCAAAAGUGUGGAACUGUAUACGCAUAUUUUAUAAGGAAUUAGUACUAGAUGGGGUAGAGGGGUUCGGUUUCUGUAUGGUUUUUUGCCAAAGUUAAAAAUCGAACUGAAAUUAUUGUUCAGUUUGGUUCGGUUUUCUUCAGGUUUUUGUUGUAAUUUCUGAACCGAAGUUAAAUGUGUAGUUUCUGUAGGCUGUAGCCCCUCAUUUCAACUCUACUCAUUUUUAAUUUUUUCUUCUAUUUUAUGUGCAAACUGUUAAUGAUGCUUAAAAAAACCAUUUUCUAGAGAUAUUUUCAAUAUAUUCAAAACACGAACUAACACAUUACAUCUUAUAAUAUAAAACAAAAAACCACAGAAAAAUAUAUCCACUCUCCGCUUAUACAAUGGUGUAUGAAAAAAAUCUUCCUCUCUUUACUUAUAUUGUGGUAUAUGAAAAAGUCUCGCCCGUUCCUCCUCUUCUCAUAUCAAGAAAAACAAAAUCGUAGUUACAAACUUACAAAUAAAAGAGAAAUCCAUCCCAACCUUUGCAGCCUACCCCGUUAGGCUUUCGUCGGUGACAACCCUCACUUUUGAUAAUUAAUUUGUUUUUAGUUUUUUUUUUUAAAUUAAAAACUCAAAUCUUGUUUCAUAAUUACUUUUAGUUUUUAAUUUUUAUAAAACAAAAAGUGAAAAUUCAAGAAAGUGGUUUUCGGUUUUUAUUUGUAUUGAAAACUGAAAGUGGUUACUAAAUGAGAUUUCAGUUUUUUUUUUUUUUUAAAUGAACAUAAAAAACUAAAACCUGAAAACGAAAUGGUUAUUAAACGGUAUGUGUUUUCUAGGGAUUGUCCUAUUUCAACCACUAACAAAUAGAACCCAUAAUUUAAGACUCUCUCAAAAGUGGGACUCUCCAUGGACUAUGAGUAUGUGCCACCUCAUAUUUCUGACACAGUUCUUGUGCUAACAUUAUAAAACAUUGUGCAAAAAAUAUGAGAUGACGGAUAGUCCAUGAAGAGUCUCCUUAGCAUUUCUCUUUGAAGAUUUAAUCAAUUUAGGUUUUAAUUUUGUGUAAUGAGUUGUUCUUCAGCUUAAUUAAGGUUGUUGGAAUUUAAUUUGUAUCUGAUUAGCUCAAUUCAGGAAUUGGAGGUAAAGUUGUUCACUUCUGUUAAAAAUGACAAGCUAUGAUUUAUAGGAAUUUAAAACUCUAAUUAGGCGGUCAAUUUAAGGAAUAUCAUCUCGUUUUUCUUCAUCAGUUAAAAUUUCGACGGAAUUCUAGAGAAGUUUUUUAUGCUUCAAAAUUUCAGAAUCUGCAUAUUUUCUGUCAAAUUUCUGCAACUAUACAGAUAAUUUCAACGGAAUUUAUUGAAUUUUUGAAAUCCCACCGCUAUGGGUUAAGUGUAGAGUUCACCACCUUUUCAUAUCUUUUCCUGAGUUUUUCAAUAGUUUUGUGGAAGUAUUGAUAAUAUCGAUGAGAUUUCAAACAUUAAUGAGGUAUUUAUUUUAGCCAAAUUUCAAUCUAAGGUUAGGUAAACCCAACUUAAAGCCCAAAUAUGUUGAAAGCCUUAUUCACUAUGUAUAUUUUUUUUUUGGAGAAAUUAGGUUUUUAUCAUUCCUUUUUGUUAUUCCAAUGAUUAAAAUCAUAUUCCUUUUCAAUUUUUAAUUAAGGUUCUUGGGUAUUAAUAACAUCAUUAAUUAUUUCAAUGAUAAAUUUUUUUUAUUUCUAAAUAUAUUCAUUUAAUCUUAAAAAUGUUACAAUUGGUAUAUUUAUAUUUAUGACUAAUUUUUUUAUCAUAUAUUUUUAGUUUUAGUUUGUACCCAUUUUUAAUUUGUAAUUCUUUUUUAACUUGUACCAAUUUUCUUUUCAGUUUUAAUUUGUACCCAUAUAUUAAUUUCUUUUUGUGCCCAUAUUUUUUAAAGUUAUUUGUAUUUGUACUUUUUAUUUUGCUAAAUGUACCCAUGCUAAUUAAUUAUAUGUACCCAUUCAUGUAAAACUUUUUAAUCUUAAAAUGUACUCAUUCUUAAAUAUACCAAUUUGUUAUAUGUAAAAUGUACCCUGUUUUUUUUUUUGUUAUAUAAAAUCUAUUCAAUUUUUUCUAUCCAUUUUUAAACUUAUAUUGGUACAUUCUUUUUUCUUUGAUUUUAAAAUGUAUCCAUGUCAAGUUUAAUUGAAGAAAUUUACUAAUGUUAUUAAGCCUAAUAUCUUUUUUUUUUUUGUGAUUUUGAAGAAUGCACCCAUGUUUUGAUACAAUAAAUUUUUUGGUUAAUUUUGAUGAAUGUACCCAUGUUUAUACACACACACACACACACAAGUAUAAAUAUUUUAAUAUUUUUAAUCCCACAAUUUUUUUUUUUAUAUUUAAAAUCUCAUUUAUACAAACAACUAAACCCUAACGUACAUAGAAAUAAAUUAUCACAUUAAUUUCAGGGACCUCAAUCAAAAAUUAAAAACCUAUAAGGUUUCAAUCAAAGAAUAUUCAUAACUAAGGACCGCAUCCAAAGUCUCUCUUAUUUUUUUCAUUUUCUGUUCAAUUUCUAGAUUAAAAAAAAAAACAAAAAAAGCAAAAGAAAAUAACAAAACUAAAUAGUAAUUUAGUUUUUAUUUUUAUUUUGUAAAAAAAAAAAAACCAAACUGAACGAAACCGAACUAGCUACUAAAUCUUAGCCAUUCUUGGCAUAUUACAUAUUCAUGAUUGUCGAUGUUCAAUAUAGAAUUGUAAGGGAAUCAUAGACUCUUCCAAUGGAUAGGCAAAGUGGAGGUGAGAAAUUUCAAUAGUUAAAAGGGAGUUCUAAUGAAAAGACUUGGAAUAAGUUUAUUUUAACCAAAAGCUAUCUUAUAACUUUAUUUAAUGAAAAUGCCUUAAACUUUAAUAUAAAAAAAAAGACAAUUUUAACGCAAAUGACAAAAGUUAAUAUAAUAAAAAAUAAACUAAAAAAAAGUAAUAGAAAUUUGAACACGGACAUUAUUUUUGAAAUUGAACGCUACUAUACUAUUUUUGAAAAUGAACAAUACUAUACUAUUUCUGAAACUAAACUACACUAUUUCUGAAACUCAAUACAACUUAUGAAAACUAAUUAUUUAUGAAAUUAAACACGAGUACUACACUAUUUUUGAAAUUGAAGACGGGUACUACACUAUUUAUAAAACUGAACACAGGUUGAAGUGCAGUAACUAUUUCUUAAACUGAAUAUGGUAUCUCUUCAGGAAUUCUAACGACCUUUCUUUCUCCUCUUUUUAAAUUUUCUCGGCACUUUCUCACAUUCCAAACACCUUUUAUUGUUCUAAUUUUCUUUGAUUCUCAUCAAAUUUUUUUUCUAAAUCUCUUCAAUUUCUUAUUUUUCUGCACCAAAUACUUAAGUUUCUGCCAUCGUCGAAAUAAGCCCUUGAGAUAAGGCAAAGGCCGCCCACGUAAACCCUUUAAUUGGAUCCACUAAUUUUGCAUCGUAACCAAACAUCUUCUUUGAAAGGAUUCUGACCAAGGGAGCUGCAAAAGAAGAGAAUAAUCCUUCGAAAGCUCUAUCAAAGGCAUAGAUCAUGGUUCGGUGUUUGACAGGGACAACCUCAGCAAACGUAGGGCCAUUUGCAGUUGUAGCAUUGCAACCGAUAGUCAGGCCCAUCAUCAAUUGGGGUGACUGCAAAGGUCUUACAUGGCAUUCGGCUGGUUUUUUAUUUUUUUUUAUUUUUUUUCCCUUUCUUUCUUAUGGCAUUCUCAUUAAAUAAAGUUAUUACAUAGUUUUUGGUUAAAUUCAAAGUUUUGAAGUCAUGUUUAUUAGUUUCCUUAGUUAAAAUAGGUAGAGUUGAGCGCCGAUGAAUUGUAUAGUAGGAGCGUUGGUUGAGAGUUGUAUGAGGGAGACAGUGACUGUGAAAGGGUAUGGAAAGGAAGGAGGGAGAAGGGAUGAGAAAGACGAUAGAAGCAAACGGGUUUCAAGUUGCUAUUCCUUUGUUUUUAAUUUUUUGAAUGAAAUAAUAUAAAAAAAUAUUUUAAAUAACGCGAUCUAUUUUGCAUCAGAGUUUGCUUAUUAAACUGAUUUAUAUGCAGUUUUUUUUUUUUUUAAGGUACAAUGAUAUCUUUUACACUAAUGGAAUGAAGAGUUUGGCUUAGCCACACAAUGGGCAACCUAAUUUGGUAUUGAAUUCAUCAUCUAUUAGAUUCGAAUCUAAAAUCGUUCACUUACAAGUGAAGAGGAAUACCACUAGACUAUAGUACUGGAUGACUAUAUGCGAUUAACUAAACUUUUUUUUUGUUUUUUAUUUUUUUAACAAACUAAACUUUUCUCUUUUUUUUAAGGUCCAAGUUCAGGGAAAGGGAUCAUCUUCGGAUCCCUUCCACUAAAUCCACCAAGUUAAGGGAUCCGAGUCCUUGAAAUUUGAUCCAAAUGUUAAAAACAGGGCCUCCUUUAAAAGUUAUAAUAACUUUAGCCUUUGGAUCAAAUUUCAACCCGAAUUCCUUAACUUGGUAGAUUUGGUGGAAGGGAUCCGGAGAUCCCUUUCCCAAGUUCCGGGCUAUAAGCCAAAAAUUUAUUUAUUUUUAACUUUUCAUUAUUUGGUCUUUAUUUAUUUAUUUCAUUAACCCCUUUAGCAUACUCCGGUUUUGGGGCAUGAAACUUGCUAUAAGCGAGUUUUGUUUUCUAGUCAUAAGAGGCUUUUCUUAAGUAUGAUUUCGUUAUCAAUUUGUCUUUUUACGUCAAUUUGCGAUCAAUAUAUAUUUCUUGAAAUGAAAGAAAGUCUGAUGCAUAAAUUUUCAAAGUUUAGAAUAGGGUUUUUCAUCAAUCAUGUGUAUUAACACUAAACGAAGGCUAGGCUAAACACACGAAUUCACACAAGAUACUGUGUAGCCACAUUGCGGUUAUGUUUGUAGGGUCCAUGAAGAGUUGAAGAGGGUUUCUUUGCCGCCCAAGAUGCCACAUCAUAAAGUUUUGAAAAUUCAGGCCGCGCAUUGCAGGGCCGGUCUUGAGGGUAGCCCGAUUAGGCGUCCAUCUAGGGCCCUCAUUUCUGGGGGGCCCAAUUUUUAUUGUUUUUAUAUAUAGGGAAAUGUUAUUGACACUCAAAAAAUCUCAUCAUACAAUCUUCACAAGUGUAUUUGUCUUUUUAAAUAUAGAAAGUUUGGAAUAUGAAAUGAGAAUUUUGAAGUGCCAAUCAUAAUUUUCUAUAUAUAUUUAUAUAUUUAAUUUUGCAACUUGAGUAAAAUAUCUAAAUAUGAAAUUAUAAAUAUUUUUUUGGAACUUGCCGUGCAGCGUUUUGGGUGGGGGGGGCCUAAAAAUUUCUUUUUAAAUAUGUGUGUGUGUAUAUAAUAUAUAUAUAUAUAUAUAUAUAUAUAUAUAUAAUUUUUUUUUUUUAGAGUUUGAAUUUAAUAAAAUAUUUAAAUAUAAAAUCAUAUAAUUCUCUUGAAACUUGGCGUACAAAGUGGGGUGAAACUUCAGCAACAAUUCAACUUUUUUUUUGGGAAUUUAACGCACAGCAUACAAGUAGCAAGUCUGCGCUUGUGAAUCAGUUCUUUCCCACUCCACUUACAGAGGUCAGGUACCCGAUCAAUGCUUCUCUUCUCUUAUGCUUCUUUUAUAUAAUUUAAUUUGUGACUUGUCAUUGCUAUGCUUGUAAAUAUAAUUAGGAUUUUCAAUUCUAGGGUUUAUGAUUUGUUUAUUUUAAUGCAUAUUGUUUAUGCGAAAUCAGAGUAUUCACUUGUCAAGUGUCUAUAUUGCAGUUAUAAAAUUCGAACUUGUGGAUGCACUUAACAAAGUGGUUAAAUCCCUUCAAGAAAAUAAAUGGAUUAUGGGUGCACUUAACAAUGUUGGUUACUUUUGCUUCUUAACUAGUUUUGGUUUAAGAUAAUUCAAAGUUUCGAUGUUGAAUUUUGUUAACCAUACCAGUUACAGUUGCCUCUGCAUAAAGAAGUUUCUCAAAAUUAAAAUUGAUCAAAUCGUAUCUUCGAUCAACUAUGUCACAAGAAAGAUUGAAUGGGUUGGCUAUUUUGUCAAUUGAUAAAGAAUUGGUUGAAAAGUUAGAUUAUGUGAACUUAAUUAAUACAUUUGCGUCUAAUAACGUGAGACGUGUAAUAUUUAAGUAAUGUUUGCAUAUCUUUCAUCUUUGGAUAUGAAUUCUAAUGAUUUUUUUAUGUAGAAAUGAACUUUUUCAUUUAUUUAGCAAAACCUUUUCUUAUACAUAUAAAUGUACAAUGAGUUGAGUGUCAAAGAAUUUUAGGGCCCCUACUCGAAGGCUCACCUAGGGUCCCUAAUUUCUCAAGGCCUGCCCUGGCACACUGUUUUUUUGCAAUAAAAUUAAGUAGUAAGAUUCUCUCUUCUCUUUUUUUCCCUCUCCUUCCCCCCCUCAUAUUUGAACGGUCACGGUUAAGCCAUGUCAACAUCUUAUAUUAAUUUUUUUUAGAAAGAGAAAGACAAAAUAGAGAAUGUGAAAGGAGGGGAGAUAAUCCUAGUCCUAAAAAUAAAUACUCAUCAACAUAUCAGUUAAAAUCUAGUAGGUUGGGUAUUGGGCAAGCCAAACAUGUGUUUUCAGUCCAGACACUUCCUUUUUCUCUAUUUCUACUAGGGAGGCUAAAUUUGUAAACACAAUUUGCAAACUAAAUAAUGUGUCACCAAUAGAAAUGAGUACGUUUAUCAACGCUUAAGUCAUAAUUUAAUCAUCAACUUCGAUGUCAUUUAAUUUUUCAAAUUUUGUCUCCCUAGCAUUAUCCCUUUUUUAGAGGGGAAUGCUAGAGAAACUAAAUGUGUAUACUAAAUUUUAUAAAUUAAAUGACAUGAAAGUUGAUGAUUAUAUUAUUACUUAGGUAUUGAUUCACAUGUUUAUUUUUUAUUGGUGAUACAUCAUAUGGAUGUCUCAUUAAUAAUAGAGAUGUUUUUCGUAUAAAAUAUUCGAACUUUCUUUGAAUUCCUUUUGAGAGACUUGUAGGCUGAAGAACGUUGUUGGUAACUUCAUAGAAGCAUAUAAUUAUUAUUUUUGUUAAUGAAAUGUGUAAAAGGGGAGGACGAGACCUUGUCCUACUAAGAGCUCCCUCUUCCUCAUUCAUGGAUUUAUCCUUUGAACUUGUAGUGUGUUGCCAGUUUCUCCUUAGAACUUUUUAUAAUUAGCCAAUUUCACUCUUAUGUUAAGUUUUUAUAUUUUUCUUCUAACAUUCAGUUAUCUUUGUCACAUGCAAAAACAUAAAUAGAGAAUAUUUUUUAUUCACCACUCUAUUUAUCAUUGUUGGAUGAGUAUAAAUUUUGAAAUUUAUGCAGUGGGUAGCCAUUAAUCACAAGUUUAAACUCAUGUAAUAACAAUAAGUAGGUGGUGAGCAUUACCACCAUUUGAAGGUUGUGAGCAAAGACACCCACAUACAGAAGGUAAAAAAGUAAUACGAUGUACACUAGGUGAGAUUCUGCUCAUGAAAAGGUCAUAAAUAACUGUAAGGAAAAGAGAACCAGAUUUGAACCCAACCCUACAAAAUAUGAUCCCAAUCCAUAACCUAACCUAAAAUAUAUCUAGAUGGUAUCACAAAUAAGAUUUACAUCUCUAGACAUGUCAUUUUUUAUGAAACACAAUUCCAACCCUCUAAAACAUCAUUUAAAACGCAUCAGUCAACACUACCAGUAUCCAACAUACCGCUGCGUUUACCUACAACAUCAUUUCCAUCAGCUUCUCUGCAUAAUCAAGUCACAUUACCAUCAUCUUAUAUGCAUUCAUCUAGAGUCUCAGAGUCAUUGAAUCAACUAUCAUCUAAAGCCACAGAAUCUUUGUCUUCAUCUACAACCUCAUAGUUAUUAGAAACACAAUCAUGUAGUGCCUCAGAUUCUAUUCAAACACCUAUAUUACAGUACUCAGAUACAAGUACACAUUCACCAAUCUCAAAACCUUAGAAGACUAAAAUUACACAGCUCCUUAUUUCUGUUGAUCCUGAUUUCCAAGAAGAACAACAAUAAGUUGUUAUAUAGAUUGUUAUAAGGUAGUUAAACAUUAACUGUCAUAAGAAGCUUUAAUUAGUCAUAUAACAGAUUGUAUAAGAAGAUUACUUCAUUGUUAAGAAAUAAGAAAACACUCUCUUCUCUUAGCUCAAAUUUCUCUCUCUUUCUCUUUGCAUUCUUUCUACAAUUUCUUCAAUAUUUCUGCAAUCUUAACAUGGUAUGCUCGCCAAUGGUAGAUCCAAUGCUUCCGCACAAUCUUUGAUACAUACAUUUCUCUUCUCAACCCUCUAAUUUGUUGCUUUUGUGAGUUUUUUGGAUCAAAAUCCCAAUUUGGAAGAUAAUCAAUCUUUCGUUUUCUGAGCAUCAAUUGUUCGAUACAAGUCUCCAGUGACAAAAGCUUUUUACUUCAACAAUGGUUACUGUGGGACAAUUGCAGAAUGUACAAUCACCCAUUACAAGUCUCAUUAUCACUGUAUCAUCGUCGGUUACAGUAAAAUCGGAUUAUUCCAAUUACCUUGUAUGGAGUUUUCAGAUCAAACUUCUGCUUAAAAGUCAUGGCAUUCUUGGUUCGUUGUUGAGUCCAAGAAAUGUCCACAAAGGUUUCUUGAUGAGGCAAAUCUUAAAGGGGUUGAAACAAAUGCCUAUCAAGUUUAGAAAAUGCAUGAUCGUGCUCUUAUGCAGUUUCUCAUAGCCACACUGUCAUCUACUGACAUCUCCUGCAUUCUUGGAAGUGCUAGUUCAUAUAAUAUGUGGAUUAGUCUAAAGGAAAUGUUUUCUACAAAAACUAAAGCUACAAUCUUCCAGAAGAAAACAGAGCUACAAAACAUUCAAAAUGGGUCUGAUUCAGUAUUUGUUUACUUAUAGAAUAUUAAAGAUGCAAGAGAUCAUCUUGUUGCAGCUGGUGUCAUCUUUGAAAAUGAUAUAAUCAUUCUAGCUCUAAAAGGGUUAUCUCUGAGUACAAUACAUUUUGCUGUGUUAUCAGAGGAAGAAAAAUGGAAUUUCUUUGAAAGAUUUCAGAUCAUAGCUUCUUGCUGAAGAAGCCAUAAUUGGCCAAUUUUUUUAGUCUACUGUGAACUUUGGAACUACAAUGGUUGCAUGUACUUAAUCAGACAAAGGCAAAGCUUUCAGUCUUUAACAAAACCCAACUCAGUCUCAAGGUUUUCACUCUGAUACAAGAUCUUCAAGCCAAGGGUACAAUUUUAAUGGCAGAUCUAGUUUUAAUGGAUACAAUUCUAGUCAGGGGUCAUCUUCGCAAUAUGGUUCAUCUGGUAAUCCAAUGGUGGUAAUUCAGGUGGAUAUAAAGGGUCAAAUUAUAAAGGAAAAGGAAGAGAUAGAUUUCAGUACAACAAUGGUCCAAGAUUUCAAUCUCCAUCAUAUAACUCAAGUCCUGGAAUUCUUGGAGCUCCCAAACCAUUUCAACAGUGGCAGAGCUAGGAAUUUACAACACUGGGGUCAAAAAAUAGUUUUAGAAAAUCAAUCACUUUCAUUUAAAAAUAGCUUUCAAAUAUAUCAAAAAGGAGAUUACAAAUAGACAAUAGAGUGUUAACUUUCAAACUCAAAUUACACAUAUACCGAUAACUCUCACUCAAACAAAUAAAGAAGACGAAAAUACAUAACAAAUUUCUCUCUCAAAAGCUACCGAAAGUAGUACUCAUAUGAGUGAUUGCUCAUAGCACAAAUGAAGCAGCACAAGGAGAGCAUUCGAGGGAUGGAAACCAAAAGCAUUAGAAGGAUGGAACCAAAAAACAGCAUAAUGGCCCACUAAAUUUGGCCAUAAUUCAUCUGUUACUAGUGGUAUAGGAAUCAAAUAUUUUUUCACAAGAGUAAAUUUAGAAACUUAUUGGGGUCAAUGGAUCCCAAUGCACCUCUUUGGAUUUGCUAGUGCAUUUCAAUACUUUUGCCUUGAACUUCCAUCUGAUAUUCCAACUUGCCAAAUAUGCAACAAAAAAGGUCAUGUUGUAGUAGAUUAUUUCCGAAGCACAAUACAACAACUGGUACUACCAUUUAGUGUCAAACUUGCUAGAAGUUGGGACACUCAGCCACUCAGUAUUAUCACAUAAAUAAUUUUGCAUACAAAGGAAGACCACCUUCUGUCAAUCUAACUACAAUGCAAGCAAGUCACAAUCCAUCUGCACCACUAGAACAGUUUGGGUUGUAGACAUUGUUGCAACAUCUCAUAUGACCUCAAAACUUGCGAAUUUGGAUUUAGCUAUUACAUAUCAAGGCACUGAUACAAUAACAACCACUGCAAGUGGUACAAGUUUGAACAUUUUCAACAUUGGUAUAUCAAAUUUAAUAGCUCGUAUUCAUACAUUUGCAUUGAAGAAUGUGAUGCAUGUUCCUAAACUUUCACAGCAUCUAUUAUCUAUAUAUCAACUAUGCAAGGAUAAUAAUUGUAGAUUCAUAUGUGAUGAUAUCUCUCUUUGGGUUCAGGAUAAAAUCACAAGGAAAAUAUUACUCAAGGGACUAUGUAAAGUUGGUUAUUACCCCAUUCUAUUUCACUCUCCAUAGAAGAAAUUACCUACAUUCUCAUGAUCACAUGCGUGCUUCAUUGCCAAACCUGUUAGCACAAGCUUAUGACAUCAAAGAUUUGGACAUUCAUCAAAUGCAAUCACUUCUGCAAUAAUGCAACACACUAAGGCUUCUGCAUCCACAGAUACUCGUCAAACCAUUCGUACACCUUGAUUAGAAUGGAAAUUUAUAAAGUUGUCUUUUUCACUUCCUGCAAAUAAGUCUGUAAACCCAUUAGAGGUGAUACAUAGUGAUGUAUAAGGACCUGCCUCUGUGUUGUCUUUUAAAGGUUCUAAGUACUAUGUUAGCUUCAUUGUUGAAUGUACCAGAUACAUAUGAAUUUUUCCAAUGAAUAAUAAAGCUGAAGUUUUUGCAAUAUUUGUGACAUCCCGUCCCGAAUUUAUACUUAUUUUAUUGCCUAAUCUUGUGAAAUUACGAAAAAUACCCCUGACAAGGGGGAAAUCCUCCAUGGACAUUCGAUUCCUUUUCACUUUUUGUUCCUUUACACAUCUUCUUAGGUGGUACGUGUCCUUACGAACACGUGAGCACAAGGGGCAAAAAGGUAAUUUUGCACUCUUGGAAAUUUAUUACUUGCUUAUCGAGACAACAGUGAGUUAUCAGUGUGCGGGUUGCAGAUUAUAAUAUCAAUAGUUUAUUCGUUGGGUUCGUUAAACAAGUGGGCAAGUAGGCCUGUCUAUAUUAGUAUUUUAUUAAUUAGUACUCAACGAUACGAACGUGUGAGCGUAAAUGAGAUUGAAUACGGAGCUACGGUGAAGAUUUUACGAAACACGAAGCGUUUAGGGUAGUUUAGUAAUUUCAUAUGAGAGAGAGAUAUUUUUUGUCUAUCUUUUUGUGGUAUUGUUUUGUGAGACACUAGGGCCCACACCCUAUUUCUCUUCUUUACUGUGUCUCCCACCCUUUUGUACUUCUCUUAUCUUCACUCACACUCUCUCAUUCUCCCUUCAACUUUCUCCGACUCCCUCCUUCCUCUGUAAAACAUCUAACACACCACCAUCAUCUUUGCUCUCUCAAACUUUCUUUCUCAAACUCCCCAACUCUAUCGUCUCUCUUUCCUACAAAUACAGAAAACGCACAACGACAGAGUUACCAUCCUCCGACAACCACCGUCGCCAUGAUUCAUGAUGAACCACCCUGCACCACCAUCUGUUGGCCUUCUCCUUCCUCCCUCACGUCACUCGCCCUUCCCCGACCCCAAGGACCAUCACCAACGCCAUAUUUUCCGACAAACUUGUAACGACUCCACCAUGUGCAGAAAACACCUUAAGGGAGAUUUCUCUUAUUUCUGGAAGAAUGGAACCAUGGUCAUUGGGCCACUUUCAGGCCAUUUUCUGGUCAAUUGUGACGAUGACUUAGCUUCAAAUUAUUGAAAUGCAUCGCAAGGAUCUUCAAUACCCGUGAGGCGAGUUUGUUUAGAUGACAUGAUUUGUGAGUGGGUCUUUGCUUUUAAAUAUAUAUUUAGCUAGUUUCCAUAUAUAUAUAUAUAUAUAUAUAUAUAUAUAUAUAUUAGACUAACGUUUAUAAGAAUUAGGGAAUUUACGAAAUUUAUUAAAUAUCUUAAAUAUUACUAGAUGCACAGGUAUGCGUACUAUUAUGGAAUGCCUUAAUUAUAGUUGCGGCCAUGAAUAGUAUUUUAUUUACUAGAAUUAUUGAAUUACCAUUGCAUGAUCAUAUUUACGUUAACUACUCAUCGCACUAGUGUUAGUACUUGCCCGGGCCAGGGUCAGUCUUCACGUCUAUGUUUACAUCGUACCAAUACGCUUACCUUGGAUCUAUUGUAGGCGCCAGUCUUGUCCUAGAUUGCUAUAGACAAUUAGGACUCGUAUGUUACGCGCAUAACACCAAUCUUCACGUGAUUGUAGUACUAGAGCGUAAAUCAUUAUUACACUCAAUCCCGCUCAUGUCAAAAUACCACAUCUACAUGAAUUCAUGUGUCAGCAUAUGUCGAUGAGCACCUGAUAUUAUAUGUUAAUUUAUUUUGAGAUAUUGUGAUUAUCGAAUGUUAUAUGUUUUAUAUGUGAAAUAUUGUGAUUUACCAUAAUUUUGAAAUAUUACUGUUUACGGUAAAUGUUUUCAUACUAUAUAUAGUACAUAUAUUUGAAAACUAUACUUGUUUUACUGCGAGAGGUUAUAUGUUUUCGAAAAGGUUUUUACAAAACUUUAUUUUGAAGCCCACCUUUUCGCCCCUCCAAGAUUUAGUAGCAAUGUUUGUGUCAACGAGGAUUUUUGGCAUACAUUAACAUAAGAUAUUACUUCAGAUGAUAUGAUUCUUAUUCAAAUUUUACUGUACUUAUACUUUGACAUCAUGUGUGAAAUGAGUUCAAUCCUGCUCACACGUGCACUCUUGCAUUUAGUCACUUUUAGGUUUAAAUUUAUUCACAUUUUCCAACUUCACUACACUUUAUGGUUUCGUCACCUUUCUGGUGUUGGUCAGCAUAGCUCGAUUCAGAGUCCAAGUGGUGGACAUUCCGGGUCGAAGUGUUUCAAUAUUGGUCAAAUUGUAUACAUUCUUGUGUACCCAAUUUUCUGUAAAAGUUUAAAUAUUUCAAAGUGAUGGUGGUGGUGAAUAUACAAGUAAAAAUUUCAAAGUUUUCUGGCAUUAAAAGGAAUUUCACAUCAUAAAUCUUGUCCUUACACCCCUAAAACAAAAUAGCUUGGCAGACGUAUUUUAGAAACUACCAUCACAUUAUUGCAGACAUCCAAACUUCUAUCCAAAUUGUGGUUUUAUGCUUGUUUUGUAGCCAUAUACCGGAUUAACAGAAUGUCUUGUGUGACACUAAAGAUGUAAUCUCCUUACAAGUAGUUGAUUGGUAAAAUUCCAACCAUUACACAUCUCAGAGUUUUUGGUUGUGCAUGUUAUCCAUUAUUGAAACCCUAUAUCAAUUCUAGACUACAACAAAAACAACUUGCAUUUUUUGGGGAUAUGCAAAAAACUAUAAGGGUUUUAUAUGUCUAGAUGGUAUCACAAAUAAGAUUUACAUCUCUAGACAUGUUCUUUUUUAUGAAACACAAUUCCAAUCCUCUAAAACAUCAUCUAAGAUACAUCAGUCAACACUACCAAUAUCCAGCAUACCACUGCAUUUACUUGCAACAUCAUUACCAUCAGUUUCUCUACAUAAUCAGGCCACAUUACCAUCAUCUCAUAUGCAUUCAUCUUCAUCUAGAGCAUCAGGGUCAUUGAAUCAAACAUCAUCUAGAGCCACACAAUCUUUAUCUGCAUCUACAACCUUAUAUUUAUUGAAAACACAAUCAUGCAGUGCCUCAUAUUCUAUUCCAACACCCAAAUUACAGUACUAAGAUACAAGUACACAUUCAUCAAUCACAUAACCUUACCAGACUAAAAUUACACAGUUUCUUAUCCCUGCUAAUCCUGAUUUCUAACAAGAAUAACUUACUGUUGUUCUUUUAAUCCAUAUGAAUUUGCAACCAAUGCAGACAAGAUCAAAAAGUGGUAUUAUAAAAAGAAAAGCUUAUUCUACUUGAGUAGCUGCAAAUCAUACACCCAUUUUAGAACAAAAAACAUUCUAGGUAGCUGCAAAAGUACUAGAGUGGCAAACUGCAAUGCAAGAGGAAAUUGAUGUCUUUACUUUUCAGAAGAUAUGGUCACUAGUGCCUCUUCCACAGCAUAAAAAACUUGUUGGAUGCAAAUGGGCGUACAAAAAUAAAGAAAAAUGCAGGUGUCAAUGUGAAGGUAUAAAGCAAGAUUUGUUGCAAAAGGAUACAGUCAAGAAGAGGGAAUAGACUAUGGAGAAAUAUUUAGUCCAGUUGUUAAACCAACAAUAAUUAAACUAAUCCUUGCAUUGGCAGCUCAAUUCAAAUGGUCUCUAAGACAGUUGGAUGUUAAAAAUGCAUUUUUACAUGGUUUUCUUCAAGAAGAGGUAUACAUGGAACAACCUCCAGGGCUUCAAAGUUCAAAUCAUCCAUCAAAUUAUGUCUGGAAGCUUGAAAAGUCACUUUAUGGACUGGAACAAGCUCCCACAGGUUGGAAUGAGAAAUUUACAAGCUUUUUACCAGGAUUGGCCUUAAAGCUUCACAAGCAUAUCUUUCUUUAUUUGUUCAACACACAUCACUAGGGAUAGUUGUUCUACUGCUAUAUGUUGAUGAUGUGAUACUAACAGGCAAUGAUCCCUAGUUGAUUUAAAAUAUGAUUACAGACCUUACAAAAGAGUUUGAUAUGAAGUAUCUGGGAGUUUUGAACUAUUUUUUAAAGUUACAAAUAUGCUACACUUCUGAUGGUUUAUUUGUUGUUUAAUCAAAGUAUAUAAAGGAGUUAGUCGACAAAAUUGAUCUGCAAGACUGCAAACCUUGUGCCAUUCCAUGUCUUCCCUAUCACAGAUUGCUCAAAGAUGAUGGCAAACCAUAUCACGGUCUUGAUCAAUAGGUGCAAUACCUCACGUUCACCAAACCAGACAUAGCUUUCUCAGUAAAUCAAGCUUGUCAAUUCAUGCACAAUCCAAUGGAGUCUCAUGUUAUUGCAAUUAAGAGAAUCAUCAAGUAUCUUAAAGGUACUUCAAAGUACGGAAUUCAUUUCAAAUCAAAACCAAAAUAUCUCCAGUCAUAUAGUGAUGCAGAUUUGGCUGGAGAUCUUAACGACAGAAGAUUCACUUUUGAGUUUGUUGUCUUUCUAGGUUCAAAUCCUAUUUCAUGGGCUUCAAAGAAGCACCACACUGUCUCCAGGUCUUCAAUCGAAGCUAAAUAUAAAGCUCUUGCCAUCAUAGCUACAAAAUUUGGUUAGAUAAAGCAAUUAUUAUGUGAUCUGCGUAUUCCACUUAUACUUCAACCAAUGAUACACUGUGACAUUUUAGCCAUAGCUUUGUCUAUAAAUCUAGUGUUUUAUGCCAAAUCUAAACAUAUUGAAAUCGACUAUCAUUUUGUCAGAGAGAGUAACAAGAGGAGAUCUCCAUGUACAACAUGUCUCUUCAUCAAACCAGUCAACUAAUAUGCUAACAAAAAGGUUGUCUACACCUUUAUUUCAGCUAACAUAGGUUGUUAUAAGGUUGUUAUAAGGUAGUUAAACAUUAGCUUUCAUAAGAAGCUUUGAUUAGUCAUAUAGCAGAUUGUAAAAGAAGAUUACUCCAUUGUCAAGAAAUAAGAAAACACAUAUUUCUCUCAAUUCGAAUUCUCUCUCUCUCUCUCUCUCUGUGCAUUCUUUCUACAGUUUCUUCAAUACUUCUGCAAUCUUAAAACUUCACCCCCAGUAUGUAAUGAAAUGCAAUGUGUUCAAAGCAUCAUAUACCAAUCAUGUGCCAAUAGUUUAUUAACCAUAAAUCAUCACAAUAUCGAUCAAGGAUAUCGAAUUCAAGAAUCAUAAUAUUUAUGCAAGCAUACCACUCAAUCAAUAAUAGAAUCUGAAACAUAUAAACUGUAACAAUACAAGUAAAUGAUUAGAUAUAAGUGAAUGACUAACGUAUGGAGUUCUAUUCAAAUAUUAAUCCCUAAAUCCCUUACCUCGACUCCAACCAAGCUAAUAUUUCUUUCCUCAGUUUUUCUCGAGCUCUUAGGCACCCUCAAGUCUAGAGCUGAAUGUCGGAGUAAAAAGAAAUGUGCAAAUUUUAGAAUAUUGUAAUAUAAAAUCACUGUCCACCAUCUCUACCAAAGAGAAACUGGAGAAAAACUGGAACGUUUUCCAGUUUUGCGGACAGAUUAUGAACAACUUUUUAACUUAUCAAAACUCAACGAAAAUUUAUGAGUUUAUAUUCAUUGGAAAUCUGGAAGAAUCACGAGUUGAAAUAGCAUGUGCAAAAGAAUCUGUACCAGAGUUUUACACGGGUUCAAAGGGACCUUUUUGAACAUGGUUUUAACCCAUUAAAUAUAAAUGAAAAUUUUCGUUUUAAGUACUUGAUUUAAAGCUUAUGAAUCCCUCUUCAAUCCUACGGAAAGAAUAUUUUGAAAAUAAGCUUUGUAAUGAAAGAAAAUAAGGACGAAACUGAAAGUUAUGAAAUCUGCACCAAGAAAUUAUGAACACUUUGUGACUUCAAUUCUUAUGAUUUUUCAAAGCUUCAAGUAGGGUGGUAGAAACACGAAAUAGGUACUUAGAGGAUUUUUUUUUGGGAUCAAAAUAAAGAAUACAAACAUGAUAAAGUAAAUUGAAAAGAAAUACUCAAGACACUCAGUAGGAAAUGUAAAUGUGUCAUUAUCGAAACCUGAACCUAGAUCUUCCACCACCUGCUUUAUAGCUGAGAUUAGUCAGCUGUAUAGACUGCUAAUAGAGCAAUCUAAAAUCACAAAACUGCCACCUGCAACUACAGAGUCUCCACCACAACCCUAGCUCCUCCUCCUCCUCCUUCUUAAGGUUUUCACCGUUUUUAAAACCUCCUGGUUAGAUAGUCUACAAUAGUCAGCAUUCUAGUGUCACUAAGCAUAUAGCAGAAGUUAAUCAUGUACUAAGCAUAUACCAGAAGAUAAUAACAAAAUGGAUUAGGAAAGUGAUAAUAGCUCAAUAGUAUACAUUUUGUGUACUUAAAUUAUACCCAUGAGCAGCUACUUAGUAUUACAGUCUAGUGAUAUUCCUAUUCAUUUAUAAGUAAUAUUAAGGGUACAAGUCAGUAAUACAGUUAAAAAUACAGUUAGCAAUACAGUUAGUAAGUUUUUUAGUAUUUGGCUAGAGUAGUUAGAAUUUCUCUUAUAAAAACAAAGUGGGUAAUCUUCGUUCAAUCAGUUAAUACAAAUUCUAUUUUCUCCCUCUAAACUCUCUCUCUCUUUCUCUCUAAUAUCUCUGUGUUCAUUCUUUCUGUUCAUCCUUUCUUCUUAAUUUUCCCUUCAAUUCCUAAAUAUUGCAAUAUAGUUAACAUGGUAUCAAAGCCACCAGGCUCACACCAUGGAUUCUGGUGAUUUCUCUUCAUUGUAGUUUACAUUUUUUUUUCCUAGUUUAAUUUCUCCUCAAAUUUCCAUUAAAUUUUCAGUGCUUCCGUGAGCUUGGGUUGAUUGUUGCGAUUCUUGGGGGGUCGCGUAGUUUGCUCUCGAAAUCAGUUGUGGAUUGGUCGAAGUCAACGGACUUGGUUGCGACGAUUGCAGAGUUCAUGGGGAUGUAGACAGCCUUGCCGUCGAGCCACUUGGUCUUGGCGGUGCAUAUGAAGAAUUGAGAUCUAUUGGUUACGGGACCAGCAUUGGCCAUGGACAAGAUUCUGGGUCUAGUGUGCUUCUUGAUGCAGUUCUUGUCGCCAGAGCCAAUUUCUUGGAGGUUUUCAUAUGCGACGGAGUCCAAUGGGAAUUGAACCUUUUGUGGUUUCUCUUGGUGGGAGGAAGAAGAUGAGUAAGUCGUCAUUAGGGACGACAAAGAUGAAAUCUUGAAAAAUGGAAAUUUUCAUCGAGUUCUUAAUACAAAAAGAAGAUAGUCAACCAAUUUUUUAUUUUGGAUCCAGUGGAAUCAUUUCAUCCCAAUCGGCGACUGCUACUGUUAUUGCGACUACCAUUGGAGAUAUUCUUCUUCUUCUUCUUCUUUGUGUUCAUCACUUAGUUCGAUCUCUUCUUCUUCUUCUUGCUAGCGGCCUCCUUGGAGACAUUCUUCUCGGCACGGGUUUCUCAGCGGAUUAUGAGUGAAUCCUCAGAGAACAAGAUGUAUUGAAUAUAAAGACGACGAAGAACAAUAUGGUUGAUCUUUUGACGAGUGGUUUUGACAUCAAUGCUUAAUGCAGUCCAGGUGUUUGAAGAAAGUCCCAGCUCACAAGUUUCAUUUGAAGGUUAUGUUUUCAGUCCAUUUUUCUCUGAAUUCUUGAACAAUUAGAAUGGAUCGUUUCUAGGUUUUACAAGUUUUUUGUUGCUGGUUAAAAAUUACAUUUCUACUACUUGGUUGUGGCUUAUGUUGUCAUUUGGAAGUAUAUUUGUUUAAGAUUUGGGUAUUUGUGUUUCUGUGUGCUCCCAAUUUCAAGAAUAUUGUUGGAUUAUGGAAAGUGGCAUUACCAGUUUGACUUUUCUUUGGAAGUAAGGCACUGUAUGGCUAUGAUUAUGUCAAAACAAAGUUUGAGCAGGCAUGUCCAUUCGUUUUGAAGUAGCUUAUGCGGUUUGAGAGUAUAUUGUUUCUUUUACUUUUAUCAAUAGCCUGUUUGGAUUGCACCCUAAGGGGCUUUGAUAGCUUAGUUCGGAUGGGGACAACUUCCUUCUUUUCAGUUAUAUGGUGCAGUAUUCUCUCAGUAUGUUUGGUAAAAUGGGUAUGGAUUCUUGGAUUCUCUCAGUAUGUUGGUCUUUGCUGCUUUGAUUGGACUUUUCAUUGGGUUCAUGCUCUCGAUUUUUCUGCAAAUCUUGAUAUGUUUGGUAAAAUGGGUAUGGAUUCUUGGAUUCUUGUGUUCAUUGUUGAAUUACUCAAGAAGUUUUGCUGUAUCCAAUUCUUGUCUCUCUACUUCACUGUUUUUUUUUUUCUGCAAUUCUGUUGAGGAGUUUAUGCAGUGAUUUUCCCUAAUCUCAGCCUAUAAUGUCGAGUCUAACCAACUCAGUUGUUAGCAUGAAUCUACAGUAAAUUCGGUUAUACGAUGAAGUUUGAAGAAGUAAACGGUAAAUCCCACGAAGGGUAAUUUCGUGAUGUGAAUAGGUAAAUCCCACGAAGGAUAGAAGAAGUUGUUACAGGUAAAUUCCACGAAUGGUAAUUCCGUGAUGUGAGGAGGUAAAUCCCACGAAGGGUAAUCUUAUGUAGAUGUUGAUUUUCUGUUGUUGAAAUUGUGAAGGCCGAUGCCAUUGUUAAGAGUAGUUGUUUUUUGGUAAAAUCCACAAAGGGCGAUCUUGUGGUACUAUAAUUAAGGCUGAUGUCACACUAUAGUUUGUUAAUUUUCUGUUUUAAAGGCCGAAGCCAAUGCUAAAUGAAGUUGUUGACAAUAAAUCCCACGAAGGGUAAUCCUGCAAGAAAUUGUUAUAACUGGCAUGAGGGUGUGUUACGACUUUAUAAGAAGUUGUUCUUUGAUUGAAGCUCCUACGAGAGGUGUAGACAUCAGUUUGAGGGGCUGAAAUUCUUUGGGAAGAACCAAUAUGAAAUUGCACCGUUCUUGAUUAUGGAUUUAGGUUUUGAAUACCUGUCAGUUUAGUGAGCAAGUAGCAUCUGUACAAGUAGCAUGUUUGAGUAUGGAUACCUGUCAGUUUAAGUAUGGAUUUAGGUUCAUGUUUGUGGGACCGCAAUUGAGAAGAAAAUGAGGAGCAAAAGCAAGCUCAAUUGCUGCAAUCUAAGGGCAACAAAACCCUUUGCAAUCAGAAAGCAUCACCAAAGUCAAUCUGGAACAAGAACAUUCUGUAGUGCGUCCAUUUGUCCAUAUUUCAGUGUUUGCUAUUUGAGACUUUGCUGCAAUCUCAAAUUGGGAUACCCCAGUUGAGAUUGAGCGGGAGCAUUAAGGGCACAAGUCAAUAAUACAGUUAGCAAUAUAGUUAGUAUUUGGUUAGAGUAGUUAAGAUUUCUCUUAUAAAAACAAAGUGUGUAAUCUUCAUUUAAUCAAUUAAUACAAAUCCUAUUUUCUCUCUCUAAUAUCUUUGUUCAUUCUUCUACUCAUCCAUUCUUCUUAAUUUUCCCUUCAAUUCCCAAAUUUUGCAAUGUAGUUAACAAGUGAGAGGUUUUAGGUUCGAUUCUCACCGAAAAUAAUUUUGAACCACAUUGUUAUGGCAAGUCUAUUGUAAGGCUUGGCUCACUUCCUCACUCCUUAAUGUAAAUUAUAUCGUUUGUUAAAAAAAUAAAUUAUACCCACGAGCAUGUUUACCUUACUAAUACAUAUAUUUUAGCUCUCAUAAGUUUGAUUAGUUAAGAGAGUUCAUUAUUCAAUUGUUUGAUUUAUCUUGACUAGUUUACUUUUAUUUAUGUAAAGGUAUGAGAAAGAGAAUGCAAAUAGCAGGCCACGUGGUCCAGUGGAUUAAUGAAGUACAAAUGUGCAAGUACAACCCCGUGUAGUUGGUGUUGAAUAUUCUAAUAAUAUAUUAAUAUAUUCGUAUGGAAGAAGUUGGGUAUUUGCCCAACAGUUGCUCUUCAUCAUAUUAAAGCAAUGUGACUUUUCAAACUUUACUAAAAGACAUGAUUCAUGUCUGACUAGUGCAUGGUUUACUAACAGACACAACUUUUGGUAAUUGAUGCUUUGCAUCAGACAUGCGAAUUGACAUAUGUUGUAAUAUUAAUUCAGUUGUAUCUUAUGGCGAGAAGACAUAUUUAAAAUCAAAGGAUAUGUCUAACAGGUGCAAUCUCUCAUAUAUAUUGGUAAAUUGGUAGAAGAGAAAAUCAUUUAGAAAUUUGUUGUAUACACAAUUUCAUUGCUCUCUCUUCUCUCUCUAUCACAUUCAUACAAUUUCUUUCUAGUUAUUUUUAAGGGAAUAUAAUUUGGUUUUGCUAAUCGAAUAUUUCAUACUUUGUUGUAUCCUAGAAGUGACUUGACAAAAACCCUUUAGCAAACUCAUUCGAGUGGAAACAAAUAAUACUUUAAGGAAACGAUUCAAGUCGUACCUCAAAAUCAUCAUUUGGAUUAUUCUCUAUAUUUCUACCUUUACUCUAACUGUUGGGGCAGAAAUAAAGGGUCCAAGUUAAAAAGCAAGCAGCUCACUUGCAAACAAGUUGCAAACAACAAAGAGUCCUUCGUCCUUCGUCCUGUGCAACUGAGUCAGCGACAUCGCCAGGUGCGAAAAGCCAGGAACACAGAGAAAAUAGGAAUCCAGUGACAUAAGCAUGCGUACGUUCUGGAUGGGUCGACUCAGUGGAAGCGGAAGCUGGCAUCUCUGCUAUCAGUUAGUUUCCAAUCUUUAGAACUCUUUCUUUAAUUUCGUUUAUGGAGAACUAAUCUCCCUAGCUAAGGCUAAGAGGAAAAAUCUAUAUUAAUUACCAUUAUGGAUAUUUCAAGGAAUUUUUUAUUUAUUUUAUUUUCGAAUUGAUGGAUGUUAGUUAUAAUUCAUAGGUUCAAUCACGUUUUUCCUAUAGUUUUGUUUCACAUUCUUUUUUUUAGUGAAUUGAACAAAUUAGUAGAUUGGUAUGAUUUCGAUGGAAAAUUUUCUUAAUAUUUUGUUGUCUUAGGUACAAAUUAUUUUUGGGAUUAUUUCUAUAGGGAAUUGAAUUUGUGUUUUGUUUUGAAUAACUAUAAUGAAAAAUCACUUUUCAAACAGUUUUAUAUUGAAAAUAUUUAAUUGCCAUAUCAUCCGACUGAGAGCAUUUUACGUUUGUAUCUCAGUUGAGUUAUAAUGAAUCAAAAUAAUGAAAUUCAAUAGUUGUAUGCAGGUGGAAUCCCGAUGCUUUAGUGUUUAUAAUCGUUGAAUUUUUCUUCUAAAAUUUAAAUCUCAUCCAAUAUUAUUGUUCAUUUCAGUUGCAACAAAUUCUGCAUUCUUUUUCAACACUUUCUUAGGAAUACGGACACUCAGACUUUAAGUUUAUACCGCUACACAACACCUACACAUAGGUUGAGCAAGCAGAAACAAAGAUGAUAAGAAGGAAUCAUUUCUCUAUGUUGGUUGGCAGGUUUAGCUAGAGAGUGACUUCUCUCUCUUUUGUUUGGGCUGAAAAAAAAAAAAAAAGAUAAAAGAAUAUCUAAUCUGAUGUAGUAAAAAUUGGGCUGACAUUUCCUAUUUCAGAUAUAAAAAUACAAAUGUAUUAUGUUCAAUUUCUAGGUCUUCACAGAACUCAUGAUUACAUAACAUACUGGAGUGUGAGUUGGGAGAUGUUUAUUGAUGAGGAGUCUCAAAAGCAUUCUCACACCUUUUGUUCAAUGUCAUAGCUGAAAUUGUCUUGAAUUUGGUUGUGUGAAAUUGGUUGUUAUGCAUAUGUUGCAGGAUCGUCGUGGGGUAAUUUGUAAGUGACUUAAGAUUUGAGUUCACUUAAGUUUAACUUGUCACGCCCCAAUCCCGACAUACAUUCAAGAUUAACACGUGACGUCACCAAAUACCCGUAUCUCAACCUACCCUGCCUCCGAGAUAUGGCAAAUCAUAACUCGAGAAUCGAAUCGCGUAGAAAAUUUUCAUAUACUUUAUGGCUGCAUCUAACCUCCUCGUUAGACUGCCUACGUACCCUCAUUAGGGAUCAAACCAUUCGUAGUUCGUCAUUCACUACCCAUCAACAUUUAUGACAGCACAUUCAACCUGAAAGAUAUAACACUCCUCAAUCAAUCAUUAGAACUUGACAAAUAUGGAAGUACUAGAUUCAAGGCUACAUAACAAUCCAAUAUGACAAUCAACAUUUCUACUUCAUCCAUCAUAUAAAUCACUAUGUUUUCAACAUGAAACCUUAAUCCACAACAUGUAACAUAUCCAAGAACCAACAAAGCAUAGUAUUAUUCUCAAGCCACAUUGAGCAACGAGACUAAUCAUAAUAAUAAUAAUCAUAUCCCACAUCAUUCCGCAAUCAUUCUAAUUAAUCAAUCCUAAAAAUCAACGAAGCAUGAUAUCAACAUUUACUAUGUUAUUCAAUCAAUAAGGUUCCAUAUCAAUUCACAAAUUUUAAUAAAGGAUCCCUACAUAAUUCCCCACCUGGAUUCCAAGCACUAACAUGAUAAGUCUAAUUUAUACACAAUCUCUACUAUGAACAAUUCAUAUUCACUCGAUUCCAAGGUCGAACUAUCUUUAUGGAAAAUGAGUAAGAGUAGGGAUUCCAGACCACUCAACAGAAUCCAACCAAAAUACCAAAUGACCUCUUGUACUCUCUUUAGACUUGACAUCUGUACAAUCAGCGUCUACACCAUGGGAAUAAUGCAUCGGCAUCAAGAACUUGGAUAGGCUGCGAAGCUCGUGUAAAAGGUCGUACCCAGUGCACAAGGCUCCCGUUUUACGCAGGGUCUGGAAGAGGUAAAUGUCGGCUAGCCUUACCCCCAAUAAUACAAAGUAUGUGAUAAUAAUGAUAAAAUCAACCAUCAAUCACAGUUUAGAAACCUCGAAUAUAAAUCAUUUGUAAAGAAUCAAUACCAAACAUUUGAAAACUAUGAAGGAGUCACACAAACAUCCAACGGUUCGUCUAAAACAAAUCACAUCUCACAACCAUAAUCUUAUACAACACAAUGAAAAGUAGGCUAGAGCGACAUAGUAGGCUAGAGCGACAAUAAUACAAAGUAGGCUAAAGUGACACAGUUCGGCCGAAGCCUACAUCUUUGAAGUUAUCUUAAUCCAAAUUCAAUGAAACCCAAGGUGGAUAUGAUCCCAGACCAUCACUCAAAGGAAUUGCGGAGUAUGAGGGACUUCGGACCAUCUCUCAACAGAAUCCGAGUGGAUACGAUUCCGGACCAUCACUCAACGGAAUCGCGGAAUAGAAGGAAUUCCGAACCAUCUUUCAACGGAAUCUGAGUGGAUACGAUUUCGUACCAUCACUCAACGGAAUCGUGGAAGGUCAACAACCAUAUGUACAACGGCUCAAGUAAAUGAGACAAACACAAGUUACUUAAUUUACCAAAGCUCAACCAAGGGAAAUAAGGCACAAAUACUAAAUUUAAAACGAAGCAACAAAUCCCCAUCCCAAUGGUUUAAUGAUCCACCACUAGCCCUCACAUUUCAUCACAACAUGCCAAUCAAACAAAUCAAACCAUAUUUCAAUAUAUACACGUCAAAUCUCAUUUCAUAAACUUAAAUCAAUGGCUAAGCAUUAAAAAUAACAAUUCAAUAGAAAACAUAUUUAUAAAACCAAGUCAUAUUCACACAGGAUAACAAUUACGAAAACAAGGUAAUCACCGAUAUCACAUAAAUUAAAAUCACUCACCGAGAUGAGCCGUAAAGACUCAUUGAGCCUCUAUUAAUACUAAUUUUAUCUUUAUAAACGAUUCGAGACAUGCGUCAAACGAGAAGGACACGCCCCACAAUGAGCCCAUCAAGUUCCAUGAAAUCUCAACCACACUCUAUGAUAGUUGACACACUAGAAGAACUCGAACUAGUUGACUAAAGAGCCAAUCGUUGUCUUCCGCUCCAACUAAAUAUAUUUCUUACACUGUCACAAACCCUAACCGUGCACGUACUGCAUUUAAUAUGGUCAUGCAUAGUUUUAAUUAUCUUUUUAAGCACUGUCAUAUUGGUUUAGUUGUAAUCGAUCCUUAUACAUAUACACGUCUACAAUUUUGUGAUUAAGUUUUGAGUGAUGAAUUUAAUGUGAAUUUUGGGAGGUUUUAUGAAUUGGGUUUUUUGGCAUUUCAUGCAAAUGUGCCUAACCUGGAGAGACUCGAUUUCACUCUGCAACGAAGAAAUGCUAUCCGAGUUCCCUUGAAUUACUUCCUCCUCCUCUUCUAUAAGCUCAUUCUUCUUUUUCAGUGCCUUAAUCUUCUCACUGGCGUCGAAUUCUUCGACAUCCAAGAAACACAAACCACCAGCCAGGAAAACCCAAACAACACUCAAAACACACAAAAAAAGCUCGAAAUCAAAUUCGACUAACAUCGAUGUUGUUUCUACUCACAAAGUAACUAAACAAUUAAGCAUCUUUAUUGCUCUGACUAAAAUUAUAAAAAUUGAAAAAUCAAAGCUUUACAAGUAAGCACCAGAGCUCAGCUAAUUGGCAGUAUUACUUGGAUGCCAAAACAUAAACACAAAAUUAUAAAUGGAAAGGAAUUAAAGCGCUUCCCAAUUGAAAAACCAAAGGAUCUCUAACUUUAGUAAAAUCUGUUUGGAUGGCCAGAAAACCGAGGGAAAAAAAUCGAAUUCCACAAACACUUGAAAAAUCACAAAUUUCGUCCAAUAAACCCUAGAAUUCGCAGAAGAUGAUAGAAACGAACCUAGGGAGUGGAUCUUAGGCCUGAGCUGAUUCAGCUCGAUCUUCAGAGCGGAAGAAUCAGGGGUGUCCGAUCGGGGGAACUUCACUGGCUCUUCUUCCUCCGCCGGGAUUGAAGCGACAGCCCGAAUCUGGGAGAAAAUAAGGGCAAGAAAGAUUGAGAGAAUCACGAGCUUGGAGGCCGCCAUGGGAGCAUGGCGGAGCCAGGAAUCAAUGGGCCUUUUUUUUUUUUUUCCUUUCUCAUUGGCUGCUGCCUAAGUUAACCUCUCUAAAAUCUGAUUGGUCCGCUUCCUCUUCUAACUGAUUAGUCCCUUACCCCAUAUAUAUGAUUGGGCCUCUUUCCCACAAAGUGUGAGUUUAAAUAAUUCUUAAAAUCUAUAGAAUCACAACUUCAAACGUCCGUAACUAUACCGUUAUAAUCCGUAUUCGCAAACGGCUUUCAUCUAUGUGCUCGUGACUUCAAGACUUAUUCAAAAACGUUACUUGUGACCUUGAAAGGUCAACGAGUAAAUAAUAAUUUUCCAAACUUCAUUCUUCGUAACUAGUUUAAUUCAAAUCUAAUUUCAAAUAAAUUAAUAUAAAUUCUUGAAAAAUAAUAUAAAAUCUCAAUAAUACAAAUACGCAGAUUAUAACAGUGAAAUCCGGGAACGGGAUUUCACAUAACUAGCCUUCAUGUGGGCGAAGCCCACCCCUCCCCAUUAGUAUAGAUAAUAUUAUUUGUUUUAAAAAAAUAAUUAUUUGAUAACUAAUUGAAUCACAUUAUUAUACACAUACGAAAAACUUUUUUUAUAACUGGCAUUACGCACCUCUCUUUAGAUAUUUUGAAUGUCUUUAAAAAUAGAUAAAAUAAUAUUUAAUAAACAGCUGAUUGAAUCACAUUAUUGAUAACCCAUUGCAAAGUACUAAUUAUAAAAAUUAAAAAUUAAAAAAAUUGUACACAAAAAAAUAAUUAUAAAAAAAUAAUAUUUAUAUGACGAAAAUACGUCUGCAUUAUUUGAUGAAUUAUUUUUAGAUGCACUUGAACUUUUUUGUUUGGAAGUUAUUUUUUGUCCCAUUCUUUUUUGUGAAGCCCGUGACUCCAAAUGGGCUUCGGGCUUUAUAUAGUAAUACAGAUUAGGACUCUGUUCAAUAAAAUGCUUCAUGUACUUGGCAAGUUAUUCUUGAUUUGUGAUGGGUUGGCAUUUUAGACUCGUGAGAGAUCUUUUUUUUUGUUUUCGAAAAAAAAAAACGCUAGAAGAACAAGAAAUGCACCAGUCGUGAAAAGAUGUUAAUUAAUCAAUUAAUUAAUUUUUUUAACAAAUAAUAUUAUCUACAUUAAGAAAUUGAUUGACUUUGUUCAAAACUAUUGUUUUUUUAGUUUUACUCACUCAAGUUUUAUAGGUGCAGUGCAGGGUUUAGGAUUACUAAAGAUUACAAAACACUAUAAUGUUUUUUUUUUUUUUUUUUUUUUUUGCUAAAAACACUUUUACAAUUAUAGUUUUACCAAAAUAAUUUAUUGUUUUAUUUCAUAACUGCUUAUUCUCAUAACUCAGUAGAAACAAUUUUUUUUCAAAGCACUGCAAUACAAACUAGCGCACUAUGUUUAAAAAAUACUGAAAUGCGUGGCCAAGAACCAAAUCAGGUUAAGUUCACCAUCAAUUCUUUCCUUUUCUUCUCCUUUUCAUUUUGGUAGGUUACAGUCAAUCCAAUCAAAGUCGCAAUGAAAUUUACAACGCAACUUCACACCCACCGAACCCAACGGGAAAUAAAAUGUUUUGGAAAGGUAAAAUCACAUUCAAAUUCAUAUCCUUUUUUUUGGUUAACUGAAAACUUUUGCGGUAUUUGAAACUGGAACUACUCUAGGGAUAAAAUCGAUGUUAGAUAGCUUCAAUGAACGUUAAUUUGGAUAUAGACCCAUAAAACUGUUUAUAUAUCUGUAUAUUAUCGAAUUAUACGGCAGAAAAAAACAAAUUUGUGUGUCAUUUGGAUCCAUCUGCUCCCCUCUAAUGCCAGUCUAGGAAGGUGAGUAUCGCUUUCGCUCCCAUUUUUUCUCCAUACAUGUGGACAAGGGUUUUUUUUUUUUUUUUUUUUUUUAUAACACAAGCGACAAUUUAAGGGUGGGAGAAUCUCACGCUACAAACUCCUGACGUGUCUAAACACAAUUUUUAACAACCAAUUCAGGUCAAGUCUUUCUUUUUAUCUAUUUCUUUAGUCCAGGUCUAUUAUAAAGGUUCAAGUCCAACCGAUCAGAACCCCAGUGAAAUUAGUAGGAAAUGUAAGUGUAUGUUCCUAACAACCAAUUCCAGUCAAGCCCACCAUCGGUCUUUUUCAAAACAAAAGAAAAAGACCCAUGAAAUUUACAAUGCAAUUUCACACCCACCCACCCAAAUAAUGCACACACAAAAAAAAAGUUGUAGGGCAUGCCUUCGCGCUUCCCAUUGCCCUCUGGCGCAUUAUAAAUAACCUCUCGAGGUUGAACUACGAUAGUACACACCACACCACACCACUACAACCUGUCUAUAUUCUAGUGUGAUAACCACCAAAACUUUCUCUCACUGAGGAAAUGGCAUCUUCUCCUAAUUCUUUGGUCUUCACAGUGCGGAGGCGCCAACCGGAACUGGUGGCGCCGGCAAAGGCCACGCCACAUGAGUUUCGACAACUUUCUGAUAUCGAUGAUCAAGAAGGUCUUCGAUUUCAGAUCCCCGUGAUACAGUUUUAUAAGUACGAUCCCUCCAUGCAAGGAAGGGAUCCUGUGCAUGUCCUUAGAGAGGCAAUUGCACAAACCUUAGUGUUUUACUACCCUUUCGCCGGUAGGCUCAGGGAGGGACCUAACCGGAAGCUCACGGUGGAAUGCACGGCUGAGGGUGUCAUGUUCAUUGAGGCUGAUGCCGACGUUACCCUAGAGCAAUUUGGUGACGCCCUUCAGCCACCGUUCCCUUGCUUGGAGGAGCUUCUUUAUAAUGUUCGUGGUUCCGAUGGGGUUCUUAAUUGCCCACUCUUGCUAAUUCAGGUACGAUUACGUAUGUACUUUAUAGAAAGUUAGGACUCAAAAUUUCAUCAUUAACACUUUUCAGCUCAUGUCAGUGAUACGAUAUUCAUCAUUUUUUUUCUUUUUAUUUUUGUGUUAUUAUUUUGUACUGAAAUAUUAGAUUUUUAUGAUUCAAAUUAUGUUUCUAUGAUCCAAAUUUUUUUUUAAGAGAUGUGUCUUCUUAUCCAAAAACAAUAGACGUACGAUACACAUGGAUUCAUAAAAAUGAUAAGAUAUCCACUUAAUUCUGGCAAACAAGUUGACUACCCUGACGUUAAUAACAUAAAAAGUAAAAAAUUAGAAGUGUGAACGUCAGUGAAAAAUUAGAAGUGCCAAGAUAUGUAUAAACAAACUAGUACAUGUCACUAGAAUCACUUAAUAAAUGUUGGUUAACGUAACUUGGUAGUAUAAUUUAGUAAUUUUUUUAGAGAAUUGUUAUUGACACUCUAAAAAUCUCAUUUUACACUCUUCAUAAGUGUAUUUUACUUUCUAAAUAUAGAAAGUUUAGAAUGCAAAAUGAAAAUUUUAAAAUGCCAAUAAUAAUUCUUUUCUUUUAUAAGUGAAUGAUCUUAAAUACAACCUUCUUGAAUUUCAAAUUUGAUACUAAUUUAUUAUGAUUUGUUCAUGGUGUAAGUUACACCAAAUUUCAUAAAUCUUCUUGUGUAAAUAUAGGCCUUGUGUGGUAGGAUGGAUGAGAUAUAUUGUGAUCAAUUAAAAUAGACUUGAGUCUAGUCCGUUGUUUGUUGUGUUAAAACGUGAGAUGGACAUGACUGGAUAUGAUGGGUUAUGAAUCCACAAUAGAGUGGGUUAUCUAACUUAUCUCUAUACAUGAGUUACAAGUUAUGUCUUACAAAUCUCUGCCAAUUUAAUCAUAUCUCUAAUGUCAAAUCUCAUUCAACCAACCAAACGAAGCAAUAGUAUUAUAUAAGUAUAUUUUAAGCAUCUAUAUUGUUCUUCUUCGUAGUAGUGAUGAAAUAAUAAUUAGGCAUCCAUCUCUCUUAUUUUCAAACUUGCCAUCUAUCAUGCAUCCAUGAUUAAAAGAUCAUGAUGGUUUUUUGAGAAAAUUUCAAAGUUGCAAUCUAUCAUUCCCGAUAAAAAUCUAUGGAGAAAUUUCACGUGUGUGGUCCAUCACAUAGAGAAAUUUUUAAUUGUGACGAGAACACAAGUGGUAAAUCAUGUGUUUUAAUAUGAGUAGUAAAAAAAUUUAUUUUUUAAAUUAUUAACUUUUUAGCACACAUAUCCUAUUAUUUAUAUAAUAACACGUGAUGUACCAUCCCGUGUACCGAUCAUAUUAAAAAAUUUCCAUGCAUGACUGUUUCAACAAUGGUUUGCGUGCUAACAGUAAACUAGAUCGUCCAAAAGAGUAUAUAGCAUCUUGAAUGUCAGCCCCAAAAGAAUAUCUUGACUAGUUAGGUAUAAUUAUAUUUUAUACCCAAUAAUUUUGUUUAAAAUAUAAAAUUUGAACUAUUUUAUAUUAUUACUAGGUUUGUAACUUUAAAAAUGUCGGACAAAAACAUAUGGUACUUAAAAUAAUGAAAGAGGAUCCUGUCCGUACUUACUUUGUGGGGAUCUUAAAGAUCUCCACAUUUUAACUGUUUAUCUUACAUGGUGUGUGAUCAGUUUUUGUGAUGUAUUAUUUGUAUUUAAUUUUAAAUAAAAAAGUUAGAUAAUUUCUGAUCAUACGAUACAUGACGAAUAAUUAAAAUGUGAGAAUCUCUAAAAUCUUUACAAUUUGAAUCCAUAUGAAAUUCAAAUCCUAAAAUAAUGAUCUUGAACAAGGACGAUCUACCUCGCCGACACUAAGUUACCAUCGAUGAAAAAUUAAAUACAGACGGGUAGCAUCAAUAUAUAUCACAUGUGUAGACACAUCAGUAAAUUUUUUUUCUUUUCUUUUUAUACCAGCUAUUAUUUUGGUUUUCUUUUCUUUUUAUAUCAGCUAUUAUUUUGGAGCAGAUAACAUAUUAUUUUCCUUUUCAUGAUAGUACGUAAGGUUAAGGAAACUCAGGACAAUUAUUGUCCUGUUUGUAGAGUAGUUUGUUGUAACGUAGCCUUCAACUAAACAGUAUUUGUCGUAAUUCAUAAACAGGUGACGCGGCUCCAGUGCGGUGGUUUCAUCGUCGCCCUCCGUCUUAACCACACCAUGAGCGACGCGGCGGGGCUCGUCCAAUUCAUGACGGCCUUGGGAGAGAUAGCGCGUGGCGCAGUUUCCCCGACCGUCCAGCCGGUGUGGCAGAGGGAGCUGCUCAAUGCGCGUUACCCACCGCGUGUGACGUGCACGCACCGCGAGUACGAAGAAGUGGAAGACACCAAGGGCACCAUAAUUCCACUUGAUGACAUGGUCCACCGGUCCUUUUUCUUCCGCCCCACCGAGGUGUCCGCCAUCCGAAGAUUUGUCCCGCAGUUCCUCAGCAAGUGCUCCACGUUCGAGGUCCUCACGGCCUGCCUCUGGCGCUGCCGUACCAUCGCGCUCCAGAAGGACCCAAAUGAGGAGGUGCGCGUGUUGUGCAUUGUGAACGCGCGGUCCAAGUUCAACCCUCCGUUGCCAGUGGGUUAUUACGGCAACGCUUUUGCGUUCCCGGUGGCGGUGACGACGGCAGGGAGGCUAUGCAACAACCCAUUGGGGUACGCGUUGGAGCUAGUGAGGAAGGCCAAGGCGGACGUGACGGAGGAAUACAUGAGAUCGUUGGCUGACCUCAUGGUUAUUAAGGGUAGGCCCCACUUCACGGUGGUGAAUUCUUACCUUAUGUCUGAUGUGACACGUGCUGGGUUCGGAGAAGUGGAUUUUGGGUGGGGGAAAGCGGCUUAUGGUGGGCCAGCGAAGGGCGGGGUCGGGGCAAUACCUGGAGUGGCUAGCUUUUACAUACCGUUUAGAGACAACAGAGGGGAAGAUGGGAUCGUGGUUCCGAUUUGUUUGCCGGCGGCGGCGAUGGAGAUAUUUGUGAAGGAACUAGAUACCAUGUUGAAUGCGGAUGAAGAACCGAUUAGGGUUCAAAGCUCUACCAGUUUUAUUACGUCUGCCCUGUAGUAUAUGAGUUUCUGCUCGACAAUAUGUAUGUCGUACUGCGUGCAUGUAUUUAUUUGCUUUUAUUUUCCCUAAUUAGUUUCUUUUCUACUGUAAUAUGGAUGUCUCCUUGAUACUACAGAUGCUUUGGUUACGAAAGCAAAAUUAGUUGGGGGUAGUUUUUUCGCAAAUUGACUUUUAUACCCUUUGUAAAUUUCCUACGUGGACAACACACGGUAAGGAUAAUGAAAUGUUGGAUGGAAAAUUUGAAAACUUCAUGAAAUGGAGAAAUUGAAUAAUUAUAAAAUUUCAAGAGAGUAAUCAACGAAUGGAGAAAACUAGCAAGUGAGAGAAUUCUAGUCUUUUAGAGGGGUACUUUUCAAACUUAUGAAUUCUGUAGAAAAGAGAAAAGGAUUGAAAAUGGGCCAAACCAACGACCAGUCACAUUAGCAUUCUAAUCGGAAUUUCCGCUAAUUUUUCAGUAGCUAAGCUUUGUUCUUUCUGGGUUAGGAAUUUAGGGGAGGGAAGGGAAGGGAAAGCAAAAUUAGUUGGGGGUAGUUUUUUAGCAAUUUGACUUUUUUACCCUUUAUAAAUUUCUUACAUGGACAACACGCGGUAAAGAUAAUGAAAUGUUGGAUGGAAAAUUUUAAAACUUAACGAAAGGGAGAAAUUAAAUCAUUAUAAAAGUUUAGAAAAGUAAUUGGCUAAAAUUAAAAUUUAGUAGAAAAAUUACGCAUUACAAGUUUAUAGGAUUAAUCGGCAAAUAUUUUUUUUUCCAAAUAUUCCUCGAUCUCAAUCUCUCCCUUACAUCCCUCUCGUACAAUGUAAAUAUAAUCAACGAAAUCGAAAAGUUAUUUAGUUUUGAUGUACUGCGACAUAUCUUUUGCAUUUUUGUCUUUAUAUAAUUUUACGAUCUUAUCUCAUUGAUUUUUCUUUGCAUCAACAAUACCAUCAAAUAUAGGGGUGGGCACGGCCUGGUCGGGCCCAAAUUUAAUGAAACCGGACCCUAUCCAAUUAGAGUGAAAUAGGACGGGACGGGGUGGAUCAUUGCAUUUUCAAAAAUGUAACCGGACUUAACUCGAUCCGUUUGAAAUGGGCCAAAAGGGUCAGUCCCAACGGGUCCAUUUCCUGAUCCAAUUCCAAACAGAAAAACCUAAUGUAAAUUUUUGAAGACAAUGUGUGAGUAAAGCUUGUGUUUCUGUUCUAUUUCUUUUUUGGCAAAAAUCCCUAAUUUGGUUGUUUUUUUUUUUUUUUAAGAGUAACGGCGUCUAAGGAUGAUUUGGAGCCAGGAAAAAAUCCCUAAUUUUCUCUACUUCUUGAGAUCGACGUGGCUUCCUGGACUAUUUUCACUGAGGUUUCUCGCUUCAAAUCAGUAUGUUCUAUAGCUCUGUUCGAAUUCGUAUGAAAAAGUAGUGAAUUAUUUGUUGUUUGUAGGUUUUUUGAAAUGGAUUUUUUUGUGUGGGAUUUAUUGGAAUAUUUUGGGUUUGUUGGGUUUUGCUGCCCUGACCUUGCUGAUGAGUGGUCAUGUAAGGUUAUUAAAACUUUUUAAAUUUUUGGGUUUUGCUGUAAUUAAUUAAAGAUUUGAUAAAGACAUUAUUUAUUUCGUGGAAUUCCUUUUAAACAUUAGAAUUUGCUUUGUCUCACAUUUGAUGAUUUGGGUAUUGAGCAGCGAUGCAUUGAUGAUAAUCUGUUUAUAAAAAGGAGCCAUUUUUUAUGAUGAGAGUAGAAGAGUUGCCACAACGCUCGAGGUCACCAACCCCAAUGCUAAUCCAGGGAAAAUAAUUCGGACAAGAUUAGAAAAAAAAUGAUUAAGGUAAAUAAUAAGCCUUAUAUAAUUUGUUACAUUAUCAAUCAGUAAUUUAUUGGUCGUACGUCUGCAAGUGUGGUGUCAAAUUUCGAUAGCCAAAUAGAAGGUUAUGGGGGUUUUGUAUAUUUGAGUGUUAUACUUUUUUAGAAUGAUCUUUGCUGGUGUUCUUUUUGGUUGCAUAUACGAAUUACAAAUCAGCGAGAUUGCACACUCCUCAUUGCGUUGUUGAUAGGAGUAUAUUUAUGCGACUUAGUUAACUUGUUUUCUUGCAUUUUCAUAGUUAGUUUCUACUUAUUAGAGUGUUUUAAGCUAUUUUCGUGUGUUUAUAGGUCCAAAUGACAAAGUUGCCAAAAAAGUGCAAUUUGGAGCAUUUUAGAGCUGUUGUGGGCCAGAAAUAGAUAGCACAUGCAUGGAGCAAGGUGGAUGGACGUUUUUAAAGUUCAAGAGGUUAGGAAUAUGCUGAAGAGAUGAAGAAAAUAAAGUCAAGAUAAAGAAGAUAAGGAAUCAACUAAAAAGAAGGAACGUUAUCCAAAACAUUAUCCAACUUAUCUUAUCUUAUCUUAUCCUAACAUUAUCCUAAUCAUAUUCUACCUUAAUUCCAGCUGCAAGGGGGACUUAUUUUCAGAUUAGGAUACCUACAAAUCAGGUUUCUAGAAGCCAAGAUCCUAUCCCUAAUUUGGUGCCGCACCUAGCCCUUCUAGAAGCUAUAUUUCCUGAUGCAAGGACUACUUCUUUUCCUCCCUGAAAUUUGAUGAGAAUUGUCCUUGUUCUUUGCUGAUUUGGAGUCCUAAUUCAGCCUUUUUGCCAUGCCUUCCAUCUUCCUAUAAAUACAUAGUGCCGCAUAAGUCAUAAACCACCCUAUUUCUCAUCAUAAAAUUGCACCACACACCCAUCCUACACAGAAACCUCUUUGUGCCGCAGCUUUGCAAGGAGAAAUGAGAGGAGACCUUUUGCCGUGCCCUGCCAUUCAAGCUUGGAUUGCUGAAGAAUUCUUAGGUGUAUUCUAUCUUUUAAUUUCAAUGUUUAAUUUAAGUUAUCUUUGUUUAAGUGCGAACAUGAGGAACUAAACUCGAUUUAGCUAGAGAUGAAUUUAAAGCCAUGAACAUAUAUUGCAUAUGAAUUGAUUACAUCCAGUUAUAAUUUCAUAAAUCAUGAAUGCAAUUUGCUUAACUGUUUAAUUCAGAAUUUGUUCUUGUAUAUUGAUUAAGGAUGCAUACUUAGUUUGCAUGUAUGAAUUUGAUGCUAAAAUAUAAGGGAGUUUUACCUAAUAGUUAUGAACUUAUAUUUAAAAGUAGUGGAGGUCACUAGUCAUGAUCGUGUUAAGUAAAUUCCUGACAGGAGUAUCAUGUUGUUCAUAGUUACGAAUGUCUUGUCAAUGCUUAUGAUUUUCAUAGAACUUAAUGAUCUUUGAUAUGUAUCUCUAUCAUGUUAUUCGUGUAGGGAACUUGAUAAGAAUAAUUUGGUUGCAAUGCUGAGUCCAAUUCAAUGAACUUAGGAAAAUUUGAGGGUUAAUUAGUGUUGUUCACGGUUAAUCUAGGGUGUUGCCAUUCAUGGUUUAUAGAAAGAGUAACUGGAAAUCGGUUCGUAUGCAUAUGUGUCAUGUGUGGAGAAGGACCCUCUAGCUAGCCAUUCACCCAUUAAAUCACCCAAUUUCGUUCAAAGUUAAUUAGAGUCUUAAAUCUGUUUAGUUUUAGUCUUAAAUUCGUCAAAAACCAAUCUCCCCUUUAUAUUUCGUGUCUUUAGGUUAGAAUAUGUCCAAAUUGGUUUCUUUUCAUUGUUUUAAGUCUUUUUAGUUUAGAAUUCGUCCAAAGUCAUCCUUAGUGUUAGUUUUGAAUAAGUUUGCUUGUUUUGUCCUGUUUUGAGUAGUUUGAGUUAGUUUUGAGUCAUAAGAGUCUAGUUUAGUGUUUUUAAGUCUAGUUAAGUAAAAUUGAGUCUAAUUUGAGUAUAUUAGUAGUCCUUCCUAAUCCCCGGCCUAAAACGAUCCUUACUUAUCCAUACUACAAUUGUCAAAAAGAGGAUUUAAUUUGUGUGUUAAUUUAUACCACAUCAGUUGUAAGUUCAAUUACUCAUCCUAUAAGAAUUGCUUCAUAAUUGUAAUAUUCAAAACCAGAUGGUUUUUUCGAUUGUGAUUCAAUUGUUAUUUUCCUUUCCAAUUGUUGUUCUUCAUUUUUGUUUCGGUUUGUGGCUGUGGCUUCCAUUAAUUAAAUCUCACGUCUUCUCAACCACCCCAAAGCCAAAUAUUUGAUUUUUCACUGUGGUUUGUUACUGCAAUCACAAAUUUAAUUUCAUUUUUUGCUCUUAUGUGUUCUUGGUAGAUCUGAGUGCCCUCCCCUCACUUUCUCGAUUAUCAACUGGUUCUUCUUGCUUGGUCUAAUUGGGUAUGUUAAGAAUUUUAUCUGUUAGUAAAAUCUCAGGCGAGAAUUUUUUGACCGACAGUUUUUUUUUUUUUUUUUUAAAUAUUUAUAUUGCCGAAUGAAUGUGGAAUUCCUUCGGAGUCUCUGCAAGUUUAGAGUAAGGUAUGUUGUUGUUUUGAAUGUGCAUUUUGUGAGUUGGGAUGUUUUAAUGAGAAUGUUUUGAAUUUAGUGGAAUCUCAAUCUUAAUGGGUUUUUAUGAUGUGCCUUAUCACUGAAUUUAUCUGCAUUUUUCUAAUGUUGGUCUUGGGAUUGUGAUGACUGCAUUGUGUGGAUUUUGUUUGAAUUGCCAAAUUUUGUCAAAGAUUUGAGAGUGGUUCUUGAAUGAAUUUGGAUUAAUAUAUACAAUGUCACAUUCCAGUCUUGAUUCCGUCGUAACACGAUAUUAUCCGUUUUAGGUCCCAGCCACGUUCUCAUGGUUUUGUUUCUGGGAACUUACACGAGAACUUCUUAGUGGGUCACCCAUCCUGGGAAUGCUCUCGCCCGAACUUGAUUAACUUCGGAGUUCCGAUGGAAUCCUAAGCCAGUGAGUUCCCAAAAUGCCUCAUGCUAUAGGAGGUGGGCAUGUACAUAUAAGGCACAUCACUUCCUCUCCGUUGGUCGAUGUGAGAUGUUACAAUCCACCCCCCUUAGGGGCCCGACGUCCUUGUCGGCACAAUUGCACCACACACAGAGUGACUCUGAUAUCAUUCUGUCACAACCCAGUCUCGACUCCGCCGUAGCGUGAUAUUGUUCACUUUAGGACCCGGUCACGCCCUCACAGUUUUGUUUUUGGGAACUCACAUAAGAACUUUCCAAUGGGUCACCCAUCUUGGGAAUGCUCUCGUCCGAACUCGCUUAACUUCGAAGUUCCGAUGGAAUCCGAAGUUAGUGAAUUCCCAAAAGGCCUCAUGCUAUAGGAGGUGGGCAUGUACAUAUAAGGCAUAUCACCCCCUCUCCGUUAGUCAAUAUAAGAUGUUACAUACGAGGGUAACAAGUGGGAUGUAAAUAAAAAAAGGGCCUAAAUGUGACAAUUUAUGGGUUUAGAUUCAUUGGAAAUUAUGAAAGAAUAUUGCAUGGUUUAUGAUUAAUGUGAAAAAUUGGUACUUUUGUAGUGAUAUAUGCUUUUGGAGAAAGUUGUAAAAUUUGAUACUUUCUAGCUUUAAUCUACUCAUUCAUAACUUCGGAUAUAUAAAGUUAAGAUAGAUUACUGUUACAUUAUGAGCGUGAAAUGUGAAGAAACAUAAAAAUUGCAAACAAAAAGUGAACUACAAGAUCGAGCACUUAUGGUGCCUCCAGUUGUCAAUUUUUGAGAGGAGUCUUUAUCUUGACCAUGAAGUUCACAAAAUUCUUGAUGGCUGUUGACAAUAUAUGGAAAUCCCUAAGUCAAAUAUUAUAAAUGUAAUAUAUAUGUGUAAGUGUAUGUAAAUUCAUGAUUUGAGAUAUAAAAUUAAGGAGAAAAAUAUAAAUUUAAGGAAGCUGUUAUUGGCACCCCACAAUAGUUAUCUUGCACUCGAAAUUUAGACAACCACAAAGAAAAUUUUGUGUGAUUGCAGCUCAGAAAUGGGAUGAUCAAGAUAGUAGCUCAGAAAUAAUGACACUCAAAUUCAAUUAUAAAUCAUACCCUAUGUAUAAUUGAAGCUCAUAAAUGGGAACAAGAUAGUAGGAAUUCAAUUCAUUAUUAUAAUUCAAACAUGUUGAAGUUUCUUUUUGCACUUGGUAACCGUUGUAGGAAAAGUAAGUGUUGAAAGUAACUGGCAUUUUCUGUGUCAUCGCUCAUUUCUUCUAAAAAAUGUCUUGCACAAAUCAAGAAGAACGAGGACAAGGGAGACGGGGAGAUCUAGACUGAUCGACAGAGUUCCUUUUUGUUUUUCCGUUGUCUUAAGGUAUAGAUCCCUUCAUUUAAUUUAGUUUAUUUUAUUUUAUUUUAUUUUUAGGAGCAGUUUGAAGGAUUAAAAUGUUCUCAUUUGGUGUAGAUGAUCUUGGUUUAGCAAAUUGGCAGCGAGAUUGCACACUCCUCACUAUGUUGUAAGUUUGACUUACUUUUCUUAUAAAAAUUGCUUCAUAAUUGUAAUAUUCAAAACCCGAUGGCUUUUUCGACCGUGAUUUGAUUGUUAUUUUCCUUUUCAAUUGUUGUUCUUCAAUUUUGUUUCAGUUUGUGUUUGCAGUUUCCAUUUGAUGUAAUCCCUCCUCUCAGUUUCCUUUUUAGAAAUUUUUUUCUUUUCCUGUUCACAAUGUUUAUAUUUUUCUCCAUGAUGGAAGUUUUAGUUUUAGGGUCUAUGCUUUCAUUUUUGGUUACGAAUGUGCAUAUAGCUAUAGGUUCUUUUUUUUUUUUUUUUUUUUUUUUUAAAUUUAGAUCCUGCAAGUUCGAGGCAUUGGUGAUGGAAAUAAAUUUGUUGCAAUCAAUUACAAAUCAUAUGGGCAGAGGUUUCCAUAUUUGGUAAAUUAGUUUUACCAAGUGUUCUUCCUAAUAGGUAAUAGAUCACCCAUUAUUGUUAUUAGAUUCGAAUUGAUUCCAAUGAGUGCACAUAUAUAAUUUGAAUUUGAUUCCUUUGCUUCAUAGACAAAUUUUUGAAUUUCUUUCUCUAUUUCUCUCUUAAUUUUAGUCAACCACGCUAGGCAAAAUGAAAACAGACCCAUUAGAUUAAGGAAGUUCAACGCUACUCAUUAUCCUUAUUGUGGAUAGGAUUGUAAAUAGAUUUGCCACAUAUAUAUAAAUAGAAUAUCUUAUCAUAUAUAGAUUUAAAAACUUUCUACAUAUUUUGUAUAGUUUCAAAAUCCGCAGCAUCGCGGACAAUCUUGCUAGUCCUAACUAGAACCAAGAUGCAGAAAAUCCCAAAUCUAGAAUUUGUAUCCACUUAAUACCUGACUAGAACCACAUGCAGAAAACACCAAAUCAGACAAAGAACAAAAAAAAAAAAAAAAAAAAAAAAAACCCAAAUCAAGUAAAACUCGACAAAUCUCCUUAAAGGUUAUCUUGAAGGAUCUCAAACUACAAAAAAGCAAACUAGGAUCGACGGAGGCCUCGAUCAACGAAGAUGGUCAUGUGGGUGGGACGGACCUCGAUCGACGGAGACGGGGAUGAAACUGAAUCGACGAAGAACAGACAGAAACGGGGAUGAGGCAACGACGAACGGACUGAUAGGGAUGAGAGUUCAAAGGGAGGGGAGUCUGCUAGGGAGAGAGAAAUCGAGAAAGUGACUCUCUCAGUUCGAGGGAUGAAAGUCGGUUUCGGGUUGUACAGCUACAGACUCUGUGACUCUGUUGUGUUGUGUGUUGGGGAAUUGAAAGAGGGAAUUGGAUCCUCGCCGGAUCUAAUUCAUGGGAAUCGUAUGGAUCAACUCAUAUGGACCGUUGAUAAAAAAUCGUGCGAUCAUAAUUUUUUUCUUUUUUAUAUUUUCACGUAAAACGAGACUGUUUUACUUUUAAAACAUUUAAUUGUGACCGUAUGAUUUUUGAUCAACGGCCUACGUGAGUUGAUCCCUAGGAUCCCCAGCAAUUAGAUCCGGCGAUGAUCCAAUUCCUUGAAAGAGAAGGGUGGAGAUUUAUAUGGAAGAAAGGUUGGACCACUAAAAAAAGAAAUGCGGCAACGAAAGUAUGUGGUUGGGAAAUGGACCUGGAUUGUCUGCUCUCUUAGUUACCAUGCCCUUCCAUACCCUCCUACUUUUUAGCCAUUAACUUCAUUUAAUGCUCCAGAUUUUGUCACUUCACCAACAGCUCCAAAACAUCUUUAAAGCCUCCCGCCUCUUCCACUUUUCCUAAUCUUCACUCUCCUGCCUCUUCCAUUUUUAUGCUGCCUUUCCCGUGGUGCCUUUCCGAUUGCUGCCUUUCCUGUCACCUCCUUCCGAUUCGCCUAAUUGCUCUAAUCUUCCCAGGUCAGUUUAUGUUAAUUUUCUUUGCUUGGCCGAUUCGCCUAAUUGGGUGGAUCGGUGCGGUGAGUAAUCUAAUGGUUUUGAAGAAUUCCUGGAAAAGUGGGUGCGGUGAGUAAUCCAAUUGUAUGGCAUAAAAAAAUGAAGGAUUUUCAACUGUCUUACCUUGAAAAUAUCUUAACAAGCUUCUUGCUUCACCAUACAUCAUUUUUCUUUGCCUUUUAGACAAAAGAUAGUUCUUCUGAUCAACCUUUGUAUAACCAAGAGAUUCCAUUCCUCCAACAUGCUUAGCCAUCAACAUAAGAUUCCCGAAGUGGGAUACCAUAUUCUUUUGCCAAGUCUAACUCAGCAGCCUGAGAGUCUGAUAUUUUUCGCUGAGAUUGUAGCAUAUGUGUAUACUCUGGUUUUUGAAGAGCAUGAUUGUGUUGUUCCUCAAAUUCAUACACAAAAAACCUUCCAUUAGAUCUAUUCAACUUAAUAACCAUUUUAGCAUGACAACCUAUCCGUGUCCCUGCCCUUGGCUUCUUUCUUGUAAUCCGGCUUAUCUUGAAGCUUAAAACCCUCCUUACUACAAGCAAAAAUUCUUGAAGUGACUUCAUUAGUUUUCUUAUUCUUGUAGUGAUGAUCUUUUCUAAUACUAAAUCCCACUUUUCGUCCGUAGGCAUUGUAUAAAUUAUAGGCUGCUUCUUGCGAAUCAAACUCCAUACCACACCUCGAUGUACAAUCAAAUUCGUUCGAGUCAUCAUUGUUGAUAUUAUUUGCUUCUUCAGAAUCAAUCAUUUUCAAUCGGAUCUGCAGUAUAGAAAAAGGUAUGGUACAUAAAAAAAUCAACAUUUCAAAGUUGUUUCUUACGGAGGUUGUGGGUAAUCUAGAACAAAACCCUCUCUAGAUUUUCAAAAAUCAACAUUUCAACAUUAAACAGAUCCCACGAAUCUUUCUUGUUCUCAAUUACUUUAGAAGAACAAAUAACGGGACAUAUUAAAUCGGAAAAAGAGGACCCCAACAUGUUAUAAAAAAAGAAAAUACAAAUCCAAUAGCAAAAACAAGCAAAGAAAUUAACAUAAAUUGACCUGGGAAGAUUAGAGAAAUUAGGCGAAUCGGAAGGAGGUGACGGCAAAGGCAGCAAUAUGAAAGGCACUACGGGAAAGGCAGCAGAAAAGUGGAAGAGGUGGGAGAGUGAAGAUUAUGAAAAGUGGAAGAGGCAGAAGGCUUUAAAGAUGUUUCGGAGUUGUUGGUGAGGUGGCAAAAUCUGGAACAUUAAAUGAAAUCAAUGGCUAGAAAAGUAGAAGGGCGGAUUGUCUGCCCUCCUAGUUACCAUGCCCUUCCAUACCCUCCUAUUUUUCUAGCCAUUGAUUUCAUUUAAUGCUCUAGAUUUUGACAUCUCACCAACAGCUCCAAAACAUCUUUAAAGCCUCCCGCCUCUUCCACUUUCCAUAAUCUUCAUUCUCCCGCCUCUUCCACUUUUCUACUGCCUUUCUUGUAGUGCCUUUCUGAUUGCUGCCUUUCCCGUCACCUCCUUCCAAUUCGCCUAGUUUCUCUAAUCUUCCCAGGUCAAUUUAUGUUAAUUUUCUUUGCUUGUUUUUGCUAUUGGAUUUGUAUUUCUUUUUUAUAACAUGUUGGGGUCCUCUUUUUCCGAUUUAAUGUGUCUCAUUAUUUGUUCUUCUAGAGUAAUUCACAAGAGAGAUUCGUGGGAUCUGUUUAAUGUUGAAAUGUUGAUUUUUGAAAAUCUGGAGAGGGAUUUGUCUAGAUUGCCCACAACCUUCGUAAAAGAAACAACUUUGAAAUGUUGAUUUUUUUUCUGUACCAUACCUUUUCCUAUACUGCAGAUCCGAUUAAAAAUGAUUGAUUCUGAAGAAGCAAAUAAUAUCAACAAUGAUGACUCGAACGAAUUCGAUUGUGCACCGAGGUGUGGUAUGGAGUUUGAUUCGCAAGAAACAACCUAUAAUUUAUACAAUGUCUACAGACGAAAAGUGGGAUUUAGUAUUAGAAAAGAUCGUCACUACAAGAAUAAGAAAACUAAUGAAGUCACUUCAAGAUUUUUUGCUUGUAGUAAGGAGGGUUUUCGGCUCCAAGAUAAGCAAGAUUACAAGAUAAAGAAGCCAAGGGCAGCGACACGGACAGGUUGUCAUGCUAAAAUGAUUAUUAAGUUGAAUGGAUCCAAUGGAAGGUUUUUUGUGCAUGAAUUUGAGGAACAACACAAUCAUGCUCUUCAGAAACCAGAGUGUGCACAUAUGCUACAAUUUCAGCGAAAAAUAUCAGACUCUCAGGCUGCUGAGUUAGACUUGGCAAAAGAAUCUGGAAUCUUGCUUUGGGAAUCUUAUGAGUUGAUGGCUAAGCAUGUUGGAGAAAGGGAAUCUCUUGGUUAUACAAAGGUUGAUCAGAAGAACUAUCUUUUGUCUAAAAGGCAAAGAAAAAUGGUGUAUGGUGAAGCAUGAAGCUUGUUGAGAUAUUUUCAAGGUAAGACAGUUGAAAAUCCUUCAUUUUUUAUGCCGUACAAUUGGAUUACUCACCGCACCCACUUUUCCAGGAAAUCUUCAAAGCCAUUAGAUUACUCACCGCACCCGAUCCACCCAAUUAGACGAAUCGGCCAAGCAAAGAAAAUUAACAUAAACUGACCUAGGAAGACUAGAGAAAUUAGGCAAAUCAGAAGGAGGUAACGAGAAAGGUAGCAAUCGGAAAGGCACUACGGGAAAGGUAGCAGAAAAGUGGAAGAGGCGGGAGAGUGAAGAUUAGGAAAAGUGGAAGAGGUGGGAGGCUUUAAAGAUGUUUUGGAGCUGUUGGGUAGGUGGCAAAACAUGGAGCAUUAAAUGAAAUCAAUGACUAGAAAAGUAAGAGGGUAUGAAAGGGCAUGGUAACUAGGAGGGCAGACAAUCCAGGUCCUUGGGAAAGGGGUAGGAUUCUCUCUCUUUUUUUUUUUCUUUUUUCCUUUUCCUUCUUAUUUGAACGGUUAUAGUUAAGUCACGUCAACAUAUUAUAUUAAUUUUUUAUAGAAAGAGAAUGACAAAAUAGAGAAUGUGAAAGAAGGGGAUGAGAAAUGAUAGAAAAAUGAGGGAAGAGAAUCCUAGUCGGUUGGAAAAUGUGCGCUAUGAAACUUUUUGUUGGAGUGUUUUUGCAAAAAUCCCAUCGGUGGAAGAUUUUAGAAACAAUUUAAGGGGGGUGUAUUCAAUUAGGAUUCUGAGAGAGUUUCAGGGAAUUAAUAAUUCUAGGGGUAUUCAAUUAGGAUUUUAAGUGAUUCUCUGAAAUUCUAGGUGUAUUCAAUUAGAAUUUUAAAAUAGUUUAUUAAAAUCCUUAGAAAUCCAGGUGUAUUCAAUUAAGAUUUUAAAGAAGUUUAUAACAUUCCAGGUGUAUUCAAUUAGAAAUUGAUUUUAAAGAAUUUGAGAAAGUUGAAGAAUUAGAGGGAAUUGGAGAGAUUUCGUAGUGUAUUUUAAGUAUCUACAAAUCUCACCUCUUCCCAUGAGAUUUCGAGGGAAUUGAAUCAAAAUUUUAUAUGGAAUCUCUACAAAUCAAUUAAACUCCAUAAAAAUCCAUGAAUUUAUAAAUCCAUUAAAAUCUCUCACAUUCUCAAUUGAAUACACCCGCCUAAAUUUUGUGGUUAGAUAACACUUGUGGUAACAACUCAAUUUGCGUUAUAAAUAACCUAAGUGGCUAAACUAUUACAUCACAUUAGACCUUGACGUAGUUCGUGAUAAAUAAAAUAACCGUGGACGGAUUGAACUACUAUUUUAAAAGAGUUCACUUCUAUAAUAGGUCUGGACGAAAGAAUUUGGCGAAGGCAACAAAUUAUUUUGUUGCAAAAAUACUUAAGGUUUAAAAUAAAUAACUCCUUGUGUUGACGAGAUGAAGGACCUUAAGAGCCUCCAGACAAAACACUAAAUUAGAGAACAAACUUGUUUUAGGUUCAGUUUGCUCCCCUAAUAAUAGGAUCACACAAUUGUAAUCUUGCUUAACGAAAGAUUAAACUGGUAAAUUUAUAAUGAUCAAGAGCUAUUAAAAUACUACCUAAUUAUCAAUUUUUAUUUUAGUGUAAGGGUUGUAUAAUAUUUGGUUAUAAGAUUUUAAAGAGCCACUUAGGGAUGCUCUCAUCUCAUGCUAGUGUGCUUAUUAUGGGUGACCAAAGUUUCAACUAAAUUUGGGCCGGGUUUGAAAAUUUAUUUUUUAGGGAUAGGAUUAUCUCCCCUCCUCUUUCCAUCCAUUUUCAUUCCCUUUUCUCACAUUUUCUAUUUUAUCUUUCUCUUUUCAUAAAAAAUUCAUAUAAUAUGUUGACGUAGUUUAACCGUAAUCGUUCAAAUAGAAGGGGAGGGAAGAGAAAAAAAAAAUAGGGAAGAUAAUCCUACUUCUAUUUUUUGCUGUAGAAUUUAAAUGAUUUGGCCUUUUCUCCUUCUUUUUGGGGUUCAACCCCAUAAAUCUUUUGGACUCCUACUGUCGAAGGAUAUACCAGGGCUUUGGGCCUCAGCGUUGGGUUUGGGUACUAAACCAAUGAAUAUAACGAACAAAAAGAAUGAACCUUCACAUACAACUUUAACCAAAUUAGUUCUAAUUUUCCCUGUGGGUUUGAUAAAAAGAAAUUCAAAAGAAGAAAGAUGACCUAAAUUUUGAUGGGUUAUUCUCAAAUUUUUAACAACUUAAUGCCAUCUCACAACCCACUCACUAGAAUUUGGAAAAACAUUUAGGUAACUCAAGUAUUAUAUUUCUCUUCAAGUGGUUUGUAGUACAGUUGAUUAAGAGUAGUCGUAUUUGCAGUCGAGGUUCUAUUUCGAAUCCCUUCUCCGUAGUUUAGUGUAGUAUACUAUUAUUUGUUAAAAGAAGGUAUUAUAUUUCUUUAAGGAACAAGACAUGUGUAAUAGAAAACUAACGAAAGGGUCUCACAAACUUAUUUUUUUUAUCCAAACGCUUAAUAAUAAUUUUUUUUAAAUUAUAAGAACAAAUUGUAAUAUUCGAUCAACUUCUCGCAAACAAUAAACAUAAUGAAUCAGCGGCAGCCUUCAUUAGUACAUCCCAAUGGGAUCCUCUGCCUAUACAUUACAUUAUACAUACAUUGAAACUUGUGGCCCCAUGUGCAAAGGCGUUGCAUCUUUCAGUAGCCAAGCUACAAAAUUAUGGAUAAUGCUAGGGAUAUUAAAUUCGUAAACCAAAUAAUAUGUCUCCAAUAAGAAACAAACAUGUUAAUCGAUAUUUAAUCAAAAAUUUAAUUAUCUACAACCGCAUCAUUUAGUUUACAAAGUUGGUUAAAAAAUUUGAUUUUCCUAGCAGUACUCCAAAAUUAUAAGGUUGUGAAGGACCUAAAUGCGUUUGUAAUUGAAGGGCUGGCUCAAUAAUUAAUGUCACCUGUAUCCAACGAGAGUAUUAAUGUCAUGUGUAACCGACGCUAAUAAUCUUCUAUCCGACAUCAUUGACCUUUUUAAAAAAAAAAAUUUAAAUGCUUUCCUUUUUCUUGGUGGAUUAAGAGUGCUAUUCGAGAGAAAAAGCAUUUUCCUGAUGCUAGUAUUUUUGUCGCUUAUCCGCCAUUACAGUCAUUUUCUAUUGGAUUUUACCUAAUAUCCACCGUAAAUUAGCUUCUCUUGUCAUUUUUUAAAAGGGUACUUAAGGGGUUAUUUCGUAGUAGUGUGAUUGAGAUUUCAAUCCGAUCUUGUGAUUAAAUAAAUAUUGAUUAAGUAAAUUUAUAUUGCAAGGCCAUUUUCAUUAAAACUCUCUUUAUAUAAUACAGACAUUAGCCAAAAAUCUAGUCACCUUGUAAGAUUCAGAGAAGUGGGUCAAAAGCAAAGUGUGAUUUUAUCCUAAGGGGCUCAAUGUAAUUAUGAGUGAAACACCAAUGUUGUGUCGACCAAGUAUUCGGUCGCAGUACAUAAACAAACUAUGAUACUAUGUCGCUACUUAGUAUUACGGUUUAAUGAUAUUCAUUUUCACUUAUAAUGAGAGAUCUUUGGUUCAAUUAUUGCUAGCCCAUCCCUCUCCCCCUUAGCGUAGAUAAGAGUAAUGCUAGGGAGACUAAAUUUGUAGACUAAAUUGAUAAACCAAAUGAGGUGUCACAAUAAAAAAUGAGCAUGUUUAUAUUAAGUGUGGAGCCAAUAAUAUUCACUAGGCGCCACGUGGAUUUUUAGACAAAAAGGACAAAAAUACCAUUGAGGCAUACCGGGAUUCCAACGCGCAAGCAGUGGGCAAUCAUCUUUCAACCAAGUCAAAAAUGCUCAAAAUAGGUAACAAUUUAAAGCCUAUUUCAUCAAAUCCUUUCUAUAAGGUAAUCCCAAAACCUAAUUUAUUUAUUUAAUAUGUUUUAUAUUCCAUUAUUUAGCUAAUAAAUUAGCUAAAUAAUAUAUUCCUUCCAUAUUUCCUAAAAUUGACUAAUUAAGGGAUUAAUUACCUAAUCAAUCCCUUAAUUAUCAAUUAAACCACCAAAUUAUAACCAAAAAACACCAAAGGCCGGUUACCCACUAGGGCCGGCCAUGCCUUUUAUUUUUUUUGCUUUUUGCUACCAUUUUCUUUCCCUUUUAUGACAUUCAAAUAGCUAGUUAAUUAGGUUAUUAUUAUUUGCUAAUUAACUAGCCAAUUAUUUCCAUAACUCCCCAAAAUAACUAGCCCAUUAUCUCCAUAACCCUCCAAAAUAAAUCAUCCUUGGCCUAAUGGCCGGCCACACCCUUCCUCUCCUAUAGAUUGGUUCCCAUUUUCACCAAACACUAAUUCCAACAUUUUGGCAAAAAUCCCAAAAUUCUCUAAACACUCUUUUUCUCUAAAUUCUAACUUUGGCAUCGGAGGUUCUUCGGCCAAAGCCCCCCCCCCCCCAAUUCAUCGUGGGCGUGUGAGGCUCUUGGCUUUAACCUAAGAUGUUAAUUGUUUUGUAGGUGCAAAAUUGUCCAAGAUCAAGAGGAAUAAAUUUGCAUCCACAUUAAGUAAUAAUCCAAUCACCAACUUUAAUGUCCUUUAGUUUACAAAUUGAGUCUCCCCAGCAUUACUUGAGCAGAUAAUAUUAUUUGUUCAAAAAAAAAUACAAAAUACAAAAAAACUAUGAUACCAUGUCAAGGUUAAAGAUACGGGCAAGUAAGGGAAGGAAUAUAUAUAUAUAUUUUUUUUGGGAUCAAUUGUUUAUGGGAAUAGAAUAAGAGAAUUGUUAAUAGCAUUCUAAAAAUAUCAUUCUAUAUUCCUCCCAAGUGUAUUUUUAUUUCUAAUAAUAGAAAGGUUAGAGUGCACAAUGAGAUUUUUUGGAAUGCCAAUAACAAUUCUCUAGAAUAAUAAGGAUAAUGCUAUUCACACUUAUUUUUACUUUUCACACUCUUGUUAAUAUUUAGUCAUUUAUCUUCUUCAAAUCAUUUGAUCUAAUGGUUGAAAAUUAAAAAGGUAUGUAAAAGGUAAAUGUGAGUGUGAAUAUCAGUACUUGAACAAUAAUGGUACAGACUAUAAAAUCAAAGGGCUAUUUUUUCUUUUGUCUCUUUAUUAUGAUUUCCGGCAGCUGGAUUUUGACCCUUUCUGAGUAGUUUCUCUAUCUUCCCAUUUGCUGAUUAAUUUUUUGUUUAUGCAAUAAUAUUAAAACUUAAAACAAGGUAAAUAUACUACAGCAAAUAUGCAUGUCAACCUAACAGAGAGGCAAAUGACCAAAUUGACCAAUAUGAACGUGGUAUCAGCAGAAAUUUGUUCCUCAAUAUUCAAUGAGGAGGUAAGAUUUUAAGCGUCAUUUCACAUUAUUUUCCAGUAACUAGGGUAGGAGUAGUUUGGCAAAAUAUUCUAUUAUAUGUAAUUUUCGUUGAAGGAGUCACACAACCAAUAAAGGGGUUUUUAAAAAAAAAAAAAAUUAAUUGUGAUUAGGAUUGGAUAUAUAUAUAUAUAUAUAUAUAUAUAUAUAUAUAUAUAUAUAUAUAUAUAUAUAUAUAUAUAAUAAGCAUGUAUUACCUUAAUGAAUAAGCAUUCACGAAUUCUUCCCUCCUGUUCCAUGAAACAAAAAGCUAGACGCCAAACUAUGUUUACCAAGUUGUUUUUAAUUAAUAUGAAAACAUGAGCAGGCGAUUAUAGUUUAUAAGUAUGUUAAGUCAAAUCUGCAGUCGGUAAGAGUUCGCAAAAGUGUUAGAAAGGUUAUCUUUUUCAAUACAUAUGAUAUUUUACAUUAAAUUAAGGGAGACUUUGGAUGCGGUCCCUAGUUACGAAUAUUUUUUAACUGAAACCUUGUUGGUUUUUAAUUUUUUAUUGAGAUCCCUGACAUUAAUGUGAUAAUUUAUUUCUAUGUACGUUACUAUAUUUUUUUAAUUAAAAAUUAGAAAUUUUAGUUCUUUAUAUAAAUGAGAUUUUAAAUAAAAAAAACCAUAAUUUGUGGGAUUAAAAAUAUUAAAAUAUAAAUAUACUAUUGUGUGUGUGUGUGUGUGUGUACAUGGGUACAUUCAUCAAAAUUAACCAAAAAAAAUUAUUGUAUCAAAACAUGGGUACAUUCUUCAAAAUCACAAAAAAAAAAAAAGAUAUUAGGCUUAACAACAGUAGUAAAUUUCUUCGAUUAAACUUGACAUGGAUACAUUUUAAAAUCAAAGAAAAAAGAAAGUACCCAUAUAAGUUUAAAAAUGGAUUAGAAAAAAUUUGAAUAGAUUUUAUAUAUAAAAAAAAGGGGUACAUUUUACAUAUAACAAAUUAGUAUAUUUAAGAAUGAAUACAUUUUAAGAUUAAAACUUUUUACAUGAAUGGGUACAUAUAAUUAGCAUGGGUACAUUUAGGCAAAUAAAAAGUAAAAAUAAAAAAAAUAUAUAUAUAUAUAUAUAUAUAUAUAUAUAUAUGGGUACAAAUACAAAUAAAGUUUAAAAAAUAUGGGCAAAAAAAGAAAUUAAUAUAUGGGUACAAAUUAAAAUUGAAAAGAAAAUAGGUACAAGUUAAAAAAGAAUUACAAAUUAAAAAUGGGUACAAACUAAAAGUAAAAAUAUAUGAUAAAAAUUUAGUGAUAAAUAUAAAUAUACUAAUUGUAACAUUUUUAACAUUAAAUGAAUAUAUUUAGAAAUAAAAAAUAUUUUAUUAUUGAAAUAAUUAAUGAUGUUAUUAAUACCCAAGGACCUUGAUCAAAAAUUGAAAAGGAAUAGGAUUUUAAUCAAUGGAGUAGCAAAAUGAAGGAUGAGAACCUAAUUUUUCCUAAAUUAAUCUACACUAUAAAGAUAAAGAUUCAAAUUUAAGUACAUUAAAUUAAUCUAAACUAUAAAGAUAAAGAUUCGAAUUUAAGUACAUUAAAUUAAUCUAAGGGAACUUUAACGAAAAGCACCCGGUACUGUUCACUUUAACGAAAAACCACAUUUUUACACUAAAAAGUCAAUCCUGGUACUAUUCACUUUACCCUUUAUUUUGUCCUUAUCAUUAAAACUCAAAGUUUUCAAGUCCUUUUCAUUAGUUUUCCUUUAAUCUAAACUAUAAAGAUAAAGAUACGAAUUUAAGUCCAUAGCUUCCAUAACUUGAAUAGGCAUUUCAUUAGUUCCCGUAACUUCAAUAGCCAUCUCAUUAGCUUCCAUAACUUGAACAUGAACAUUAGCACAAUCAAACAUCCACACCAAAAAGAAUAAUAAAAAGCAUCAACAAAACUUGAAAAGAAGAACAAAACUCAAAUUAUUCAAGAAAAAUCUGUAACCAAUUUGAAUUAGAACUCAAAAACCAUCCCGAAUUUCUAUUUUCUAUCUCGUCCACUGCCUCUCGAUUUUCAGUGAACCGUCUAUGUGAGUAACUUGCUUUUCCAAGGCGAUAAACCUCUUCAAGGUCAGUUUUCUUUAGUGGGUUUCCAAGACAAUCCCAAUUAUUACAGCGGCGUAUAUCGUUAAUGAAGAGUUCCUUUUCAAUUUAUUUCAAUUUGUCUUCUUAGCUGCUCUCACAGGCUGCCCACCUGCAAGGUCAACUCUUCCAGCCUCCAUGUUUGCCCAUUCUUCUCACAAUUUCUAUUUACUUUAACUAGAAAAACCCACAUGAUUACUAAAAAGGAUAAACUUGGCUCCUUAGUUGUUAAUGAAGAGUUCCUUUUCAAUUAGAGGGUAUUCGAUUACUAAAAAGGAUAACCCGAAACACAACUGCUUCUCUGUUCGUGGGAGAUAUUUGUGUCGCAAGAGGAGAGAACCAGAAAAAACCCCAAUUGUUCAAUCCAAAUCCAAAUUAAUCAUCUAAAAUAGUGAAUGAGGAGGAGACCCAUACCUGAAAUCUCUGAAAUCUCAAAGGUUAUUCGCGAUGGCCUGUGAUUUGGCUGGUAUUGCGCUUUGUUCGUGGGAGAUGAUGUGCGCCCGUGCCGCACGGAAGAGGCGGGAACCAAAAAAGAAAAAGGAAAAAGAAAGAUUAUAUCAGCUAUUUAAUCUCAACCACCCAUUUCAUCCAAUGGUUAAGAGAAGGCUCCCCAUUUUUUUGAAAAAAUGCGGAUCCCUCCCCUUAAGCUCCCCCUAUAUAUAUAUAAUAAGCAUGUAUUACCUUAAUGGAUAAGCAUUCACGAAUUCUUCCCUCCUCUUCCAUGAAACAACGGAAAGCUAGCCACCAAACUAUGUUUACCAAGUUGUUUUUAAUUAAUAUGAAAACAUGAGAAGGCUAUUAUAGUUUAUAAGUAUGUUAAGUCAAAUCUGCAGUCGGUAAGAGUUCGCAAAAGUUUUAGAAAGCUUAUCUUUUUUGAUACAUAUGAUAUUUUAUAUUAAAUUAAUCUAAACUAUAAAGAUAAAGAUUCGAAUUUAAGUACAUAGAAGGAAAUACACUGCUCUAGAAAGUUAUAAUUUUUUAACAUUCAAUCUUUGAUUAAGUUAUGACCUAAUCAACUAUUCGUUUGGUUUAAAUUUACAAGUUUGUUCAUUAAUUAGAUAUUUUAGGCUUAAAAACGCAAGAAAGGACCAUGUGAUAAAUCUGAUAUGUAAUUGUGGUUAGUUAAAAUCAGGCAAAAAGGUUGAUUUAAUAAACACAGCAAGGAGCAUCUGUUUUGGUACAAGCAGCUGCUAUAUUCGACUUCGACUUACAAUGUGCUGUCUCCUCUUUCAGCAAAAUUAGCCCAUGUGACAUAGAAUAAGUGGCUGAAGAGACGAGACAGCCAACAUGAGAUCCCAAUGCUCAAGAAAGUACUUUCCUAUAUAUCCAUUUUAGUGUAUCUGUUAUCUCUCUGUUCGUGUAACUAUUCACAUUUAGAGAGUUUCUUUAAAAACAUUGAAAUCAGAAUAAGUAAGUUUCUCCAUCGUGAUGGUAAGUAUUGAUAACUGUUGAUUGAAGUAAACAUUACAUAUUAUAUAACUCACCAAUCAACGGUUCACAAUUCUAAUUAGAUUGCAUGUGUUCGCAAUUCAUUUAUUUUUUUUAAGUUUUAUUCCAAAGGACAAUAUUCAACCGUUAAGAAUUAGAAAUGACAUGAGAUUUUAGUGGCGGAUUAUCUUUUUUGAAAGAAAUGAAACGUUGAACAAGUGUAACUAAAACAUCAAUUUGAAAACCAUCACGGAAAGCAAAAGUCUAAUUACCAAAAAUAAUCCAUCAAUAUUUAUUUAUGAACAUGAACGUUGAACAAGUGUAACUAAAACAUCAAUUUCAAAACCAUCACGGAAAACAAAAGUCUAACCACUAAAAAUAAUCCAUCAAUAUUUAUUUAUGAACAUGCGUAACCAAAGUAGGUAUCAAAAGUAAUCAUAUAAUCAUCUCCGUAUAUAUGAGAGCUACCUAGUAACGUAAUAAUAAUGCCAAAAACAAAAAAAACAAAAGAAUAGUAGCAAAAAUUUAAAAAAAAAAAAUCAAAAACUGAAUGAACAACAAGAUAAAUGAUCGAUCGAUCAAUCGUAGGCUGUGAAGAUUGAUUAGAAG
rnacentral:lncRNA from 1 species